CAAGAAGCAAAGUAGUAUCAGGCAUCCUUUGAUUAAUUCUCUAUGUUAUGACAGCUUAACACCAUCUUAUAGAGGUUAUCUAAGUAAAGUGUCUGAUUCUGUGGAGCCCAAACACUUCAGACAAGCAGUCAAAGAUGAUAGAUGGAUACAUGCCAUGAAGCAAAAGAUACAAGCUCUUGAAGAUAACAAAACAUGGAUGGUAGUUGAUUUACCACCAGGGAUGCAUACAGUGGGAUCUAAAUGGGUGUAUAAGGUGAAAUAUAGAGCAAAUGGUGAGGUGGAAAGGUUCAAGGCCAGGCUGGUUGCUAAGGAUAUAGUCAAGGCAAGUAAGGAUUGGACUAUCAUGAUACUUUUUCACCAGUUGCAAAGAUGGUAACAGUUAGAUGUGUGAUUGCUCUAGCAGUGUCUAAAGGUUGGAAUCUCUCUCAAAUGGAUGUCUACAAUGCAUUUCUCCAAGGUGAUCUAGAUGAGGAGGUAUAUAUUGAGAUGCCUGAAGGUUUCAGAAAGCCAGGGGAGACGAAAGUUUGCAAGUUACUUAAGUCAUUAUAUGGGCUUAAACAAGACCUCUAGACUAAUGGAACUUAAAACUUACUACUGCCUUGUUAUCUGCUGGUUUCAAUCAGAGUGCACAUGAUUAUUCUCUUUUUACUCUUAAGAAAAAUGAAGGACUUGUCAUUAUCCUAGUCUAUGUUGAUGAUUUAUUAAUCACUGGCAACAAUGCUCAGAUGAUCACAGAAGCCAAGGAGAAUCUACAUCAACAUUUCAAGUUAAAAAAUCUAGGGGAGCUGAGAUAUUUUUUGGGAAUUGAAGUGUUAAGAUCCUCUAAGGUUGUUGUUUUGAAUCAAAGAAAGUAUGUUUUAGAACUUAUUUCUGAUGCAUGGCUCACGGGUGCUAAAACUGCUCUCACUCCUCUUGAAUCAAACCUCAGACUCACCUCAGUGGAAAAUGAUUUGGUGAAUGGGGUUACUGGAGAUGAGAUCCUUCAUGACAUCACAGCUUAUCAGAGAUUAGUUGGAAAGCUUCUUUAUGCCAAUAUCACUAGACCUGACAUUAGCUAUGCAGUACAAACUCUCAGUCAGUUCAUGCAGUCUCCUAAAAGGUCACAUUGGGAAGCAGCUACAAGAGUAGUAAGAUACUUGAAGGGAACAGUAGGCCAAGGUGUUUGGUUGCAAGCUAAACCUGCCACUAUGUUAACUUGUUGGUGUGACUCUGAUUGGGCUAGUUGUCCAAAUACUAGAAGGUCUAUUACAGGUUAUGUGGUGAAGUUUGGUGAUUCCUUGGUGUCCAGGAAGUCUAAAAAAUAACACACUGUCUCUAGGAGCUCAGCUGAGGCCGAAUACAGGAGCAUGGCUUCAGCUGUAUCUGAGCUCACCUGGUUGUUGGGAUUAUUUACUGAGUUAGGAGUUCCUAUUCAGGUGCCUGUGACUCUUUUUAGUGACAGUAAGUCAGCCAUUCAGCUUGCAGCUAAUUCCGUCUUCCAUGAAAGGACUAAGCAUAUUGAAAUUGACUGUCAUUUUAUCAGAGACAAGAUCAAAGCAGGGGUAAUAGACACUGUACAUGUUCCUACUCAACAUCAAGUUGCAGACCUUUUGAACCAAAGGAUUGCCUCAAGCUCAACAUUUGCAUCUUCUCAGCAAGCUUGGUGUGCUUAAUGUCAUGCACCCUUCAGCUUGAGGGGGUGUGUUCAAAUACAAAUUAGUUCAUUAGUCAGUUAACUAAUUAACACUGUUAGUUAACACUGUUUGCACUAGUUAGUUAACGGAUUAGUUGGUUGCUCAACUAUGAGCUAUCAAUAAUUAGUUAGUUUGUUAUCUCAAUUCCUAGCUAUAAAAGCACAAGUUAAGAGUCACACUUUAUAUGUUGUUGCAGUAAAACAUCAAUAAAAUUCUCUCCUUUCUUCUUCAGUUUUCUGUCUAGAUUCAUCAAUGAACUGAUGAGCUGAUUUGCUCACAGUUUUCACACACAUAAUUAUACCCACUAUAAUCAUAUUGAAUAUGCACUUUUUAUUUUAAUUUUUUGUUGCUUUUUCUCUGUUUUAUUUAUUUACAUUUCAAACCCCUUCUGGAAGAUGAGCUGUAAAUAUCUUGUCCUAGAGCCGACAAAAGCCCUUCUCUACUAGAAAUCACAAUUUUAUUUUAUUUUUAAAUUGAUAAUAAUCACAUCUCUCUUUAUCCGAGAUUGAUGUUUCAUUAAUAUAAUUGUUGCAUAUAAUUACAUGUUCUUAAAUUAUUUCUAGCUGAAUACAUAUUGGAUUUCUGAUUUUGAAUAUGUCCAAGUUUUAAUUAGUCAUGUUAAGUGACCUGGGAGAGGAAAUGUGAUGUUAUUUCCUAAAUCCUAAUAUAACUUGAACAAUCUCAAUUUCAUCAUUUAAGUUAAUACUCUCUUCCGUUUUUUUUUAGUAGUUAUUAUUUUCUUUUUUAGAAUCAAACGAUAAGAAUUAAUUACUUCCUUGUGAACGUAGCUUUGAUUUCAAAACCAAAUAGCCCAAAGGUAUGCUUUACUUUCUGAUUGUAGUUUUUAAAUCGAACAUUACAAAUGUGUUUACACUUUUUUUUUAAAAAGAAAUUAAUUAUUAGAGUAAAAUGAUAAAAAACAAACAAACUAAUUCUAUCUUGUAUUUAUAAAUGAAUAAAUAAUUUAAGAUCACUACUUUUUUUAAUAAUAAUUUAUAAUAAUAUGAUACAGAUAUAACAGUAAUUAAAUAGUACCACAAUUCUUCAAUAAAAUAAAAUUUUAAUAAGCAAUCAAGUGCAUCAGUAAAAUAUUGUAAGUGUGAUGUUUCUUCCAAUAGAGGUUCAAGUAGACGACCAACGUAAAAAGUAAAGGAGUUGCUUUACAACCCACUAAAUGUAACAAAAAUAAUUAUAAACAGAUAUUAGUAAAGUAAUAAAAAAGAGAAAGCCCACAGAUUAAACACUAUAACAUGGUUCCACUUAUGAACAUAAAGUCAAUUUUGCUUUAGGAAAAUUGGUGGAAUUAUCAUAUUGAUUCAUUAUUGCCUGGGCCAUUAAUUUCUCUGACAUAGUACUAUAGUCCUGGCAACAAUUAGAGUUUGGAGUAUUUUGACAAAAUAACAAAUCAGGGUGGAUAUGUUAAUUAGACUGUGUAAAUGAAUUUCCAAGUUAACUAAUUUUCCCAUUCUACAUGAAAUUAACUUUAAUUAGCAAGUUUUCAUUUUCAACCUUGGAUAGUAAAUACUCUCCAAUUAUUUUUAUUUGUUCAUUAUUUUAAAAAUAGAAUUUUCAUUUUUAUUUCUCACUUUUAACAUAUCAAAAAAGGAUAAUUAUUUACUUUCAUAUUUUACCCUUAGCAUUAAUUGCAUAUUUAAUAAUCAUUUCUCAAAAUGUAAUACUCCCUCAGUUUCUAUUUACUUGUCCAUUUAUUUUACUUGACAUACAUAUUAAGAAAAUAAUAAUUGAUACAAUGAGGUUACCAUUUUACUCCUAUUAAUUGAUACAAUUCCAAAAUCAAUUUACUCAUUCAAAAUGUUCUACCUUUUUCAAAAAUAUUAACUCUCUAAAUAAAUUAAGAGUAUAAUAGGUAAAAAAAUAUCUUGAUUUGUUAAAAAUAACAAAUAAAAUGUCAAUAUUAGAUAAGUAAAAAGGGACAGACGGCCAAGUAAAAAUGUAUAUUAUAGUAAAAUAUCCCCUUCAAUCAUGGUUUUUAAAGGCAUGCAUGAUCCGAAAUGAACAAGUAAAAAUAAUCUGAAGAAUAUUAUGUACUCAGGCAGUGGAGGAGCCACCUUACAAUGAGGGGUUCAUUUGAAUCCCCUUCGGCGGAAAUUAUAUGAUUUAUACAUGGUUAAAAUAAUUUUUUAGGUAUAUAUAGUAGAUGUCGAACCUUCUUCGGCUACUUUGUGUGUCUAUUUUUUUAGAUUUUGAACCCCCUUAUUGAAAAUUCUGGCUCCGCCACUGUACUCAGAUAAUGGAAAAAUUACUUGGAUGAAUACUUUUUAAUAAAUAAUUACUUAUUUUAGCGAUACUUUUUAUCUAUUACCAUUUAUAGCAAUACAUAACAAUUAUAUGUUAAAUUUGCAAUAUGUAUUAAAAGUGGAUUAUGUAUGCAAUAUAUAUGUAUUAUAAUUGUUUUUAAAAAAAUAUAUUAUGUUUUUUUGGUAAGAAAUUGACACAUUGUAUUAUAAGUGUAUUAAAUGUGUGAUAAAUGUAUUAUUUAUCAAUAAAAAUGGUAUUAUAUAUGAAUAAUAAAUUAUUAUAUAUUAAAACUGUAUUAUAAAUAUAUUAAAAGUGAUCAAGUGAAAAAACAAUAUUAUUACUAUAAAUGAUAAAUAUUUUUUUAAUAUAGUAUAUUUAUGUAAGUUUCCCUCAGAUAAUCUACUUCUUUGGCCGAAAGAAAGGAAUGAUUUUUAACUUGCUAACCUACUCCAUGUUACCUUUUACCUUUUGCUCUUCUUAUUCUUGAGCAAAUAACUACUCCCACCAUUUCAAAAAGAAUGGUCUCCUUUGCUUUUUAGUCUGUUUAAAAAAGGAUAAUUUUUUUUUUGUUUUAGUAACAUUUUAAUUUUAGCUUUCCACGUGACAUGUUUAAAAUCAUAAGAUUAAAUAACAAUUUUAUACAUUUGACAUAACUUUAAUUUAGGAUCACAAAAUUCAAAAGUCUUCUUUAUUUUCUUAAACUAUGUGUCAAGUCAAAACUAGAUCAUUCUUUGUAAAACGGAAGGAGUAGGAGAGAAGGUUGUAACAAGUAGCCGACAAUCAAAUUAAAGAGAGAAAAAUUGUGGAACCACUUGAAAAUUGUAUACCGUAAUCAAGAAACAAACGGGUAUCAUCACAUUAAUAAUUUUCAUAAUUACAUAAAAAGAGAAAAUUAAGAGAAAGAAAAUCCCGGGACAGAAUGGAAACCAAAAAUUAAUUUGCAGUAUUCAAAGCUCCCAAUCUGCACGUAUUUCUAUAUAUAAUUACUGCCAUGAUCUAAUUAAAAAAAAGAAGAAAACAUUAAGCAAAAGCAGAUGCAGCCUCUCUUCUCAGAUCUCUGUAGAAUCGAGAAAUGAAUUCAUCAGCUUUCUCAUCAACGUGGCUAAUCAUGUCACCAUUAUCAUCAGCUUCUCUUAGUGGGAAAGGCGAGUCAGUGAUUCUUAAUUGCCUCACCGUUGGAGUCCUUCCGAAUCCAGGCAAAGCAGGUGAUGCUGUUUCGCUCUGAAGGAUUUCUAAUGCCUUCAAAACAGCAGCGUUCAUCAUUGAAACGUCGUCGUGUUCAGGCUGACUAAUGCGCUUGUUGGUGUUGAAGGGGAGGUGAAAAGCAGGGCUGUUACUGCAGCUGAACUCGUAAUACUCUUUUGAAGUUGAUUGAUGAAUAUUAUUAUGGCCCUGGAACAUCAGAUUUUGGAAGGCAGCUUUUCCAGCAAUCUUACCACGUUUCAUUAAUAAAUUGAGAUCGAACAUUAGUUUCCUCUUUGAUGAUAAUCCUUUCCUCAACAUGAAGUAAGCCACGCGGACUAUCUUCCAGAACUUUUUCGCUAUAACUGGCAAUUUUUGAUCCAUUUUUUCUCUCUAAUUAAGUACUCUCUUUAUAUAUUCACGAGCAGUUUUUCUUUUUUUCUUUUGAAUUGAAUAUUUGUUUGUUCACGAGAGACAAAUAUUGAUGAAAACUUUAGAGGAGAGUUUGUUUUUGUGGUUUAUGAGAAGAAUUGAGAGAGUGGUAUAUAUAGGGAGGUUUUCAUUCAGAGGAAAAGGAUAUAAUGAAGUAUUCAAUAUGUUUACUUUUUAAUAAGUUGACACGUUUGGAUACGGACCACGUAUAGUUUGAGUUUAUUCAAUAUUUUAUUAAGACUUCAAUUAUUAUACAAGGAGUUGGUGAUUUUCUAGUACAAGUAUAGGGUCAAUUAAUUUUGUUAGAAUUUAUAAAUUAAUAUACAUAUAAAUUUAAUUAAUUUUCUAGUAUAAGUAUAAGGUCUAAGGAAAGCUACUGGAUUCGUCCGAACCUAUGAACCCCAGCCUAGCUCCGCCACUUGUAUUAGUUAUAGGAUGAAACUUCAAAUUAGCUUAAGGGAGGAUAUCAUCGAUUACCUUUAUAAACUGUUAACGUUUUUUUCUUUGUUCUUUUUUUGUGCUGCAAUUUUCUAUUGAAACAGACAUAUAUGUUAUACACAAGUGUAGGGGAAAAAGAGUUAGACUAUUAGGAGCGGAAUUCAACUUUUGAAUAUUUACUAGAGUUAGUAGCUAGGAGUAUCAUUUAGAGUACCCUUUUUAACUUAAAGAUUUGAAGUGACUUCACUUAUCCAAAAUACAAUCUCUUAAUUAGUGUGAAUAUAUAUAUAUAUAUAUACAUCUGGCAUUCAUCCUCAUCUGUUUUACACAAUUAUUGUUGUACCAUACAAUGGAUUAGGAGACACAUAAUAUUAUCCACUACUCAUUCUUGUCCUGGAACUGUCAAAAAGACCUUGUCCACAAGAAACCACAAUUUUUUUCUUAAAUCUAUGAUAAUCACUUCUCUCUUUAUCCGAGAUGAUGUUUCAUUAAUUUUAUUGUUGUCUUUAAUUAUGCGUUCUAAAAUUAUUUCAAGUUGAGUAGAUAUUGGAUUUUUUAUUUUGACUAUAUAUAUCCAAGUUAGUUUGAACAAUGUUUGUCUUACUAUAGCUAGUUUUUAAAGUUAACUUAGUCAAAGGUUCAUUCGAGUCAUAUACUCAUUCUUAUUCUUGGUUCACUACACAAUAAUUAUUUCUGACAUCAUCUUGAAAUAGAUUGUUAUAUCUCUUUAAAUAAUUUUGAAUUACUCUCAUCUUUGAUGUGCUAAUUUUUAAAUUGAAUUAGUUCAAAAGUUCAUUUUUUUAAUUGUGGUUUUGAUUUCAAAACCAGCAGCUAGCCCUAAUUAAGUAUGGUUUACUAUAGUAAUUAAGCACCACAAUUCCUCUCAAAAAACAAAAUUUAUAAAGCAAUCAAGUGCAUCAAUAAAAUAGUAUAUGUGCUAUGUUUCUUCCAAAGGAGGUGCAGGUGGAUGAUUAAUGUGAAAAGCAAAGGAGUUGCUUUACUAACCACGAUAACUAAAUAAUAAUUAUAAAUAGAUAUUAGUAAAGUAAGAAAAGAGAAAGCCCACAGAUUAAAUGGAGUAUAACAUUUUUCCACUUAUGAACAUAAGACAAUUUUGCUUUAGGAAAAUUGGUGAAAUAACAUUGACCCAUUAGUGACUUUAUUGGUUAAUCGGGCCAUUAAUUUUUCUUUGACAUAGUACAAUUGUCCUGGCAACAAUAGUAGUUUGGAGUAUUUUGACAAUGAAUUUCCAGGUUUUAUGAGAAGCAAUGAAUGGUACUCCAUAUAGGGGCCUUUUUAUACAGUGGAAGAAGACGCAGUGAAGUAUUCAAGUUGACACGUUUGAGUCUUUAUAACGAGUUUAUUCAAUAUUUUAAUGGUCCAAUUAGAGUCUUUUAAGUCAUUUUCACUCAUCAAAUAAGUUCUCCAUUUCCCCCCUUCCUUGUAGAUUGCAUUAAUAAUUAAAUAACUACGUACCAGUGAAAUGUCACAAAAUUACUAGUUCAUUGUAACCUGAUCAAAUACACAACUCAACUUACCCUACAAGGAUUUAGGAUUAAAAAAACCGCUAAACGUUUUAGUUUCAAAAUUUUAACUUGUAGGGUGUGUUUGGUAUGAAGGAAAAUGUUUUCCAUGGAAAAUGUUUUCCUAGAAAAUGUUUUCCUGGAAAACAAGUUGAUUUUUGACUUAUUUUCUCAUGUUUGGUUGGUGAUUAAAAAAUAUUUUUCGGAAAAGAUUUUUAGUGUAAAUUUAUGAAUGAAAAAUAUUUUUGAGAAAUAUCUUUUAUUUUUACUAGAGUAGAAAAUAAUUUUUGAAAUUGAAUUUUUUUUUUAAAAACAAACUUAAAUUUUUUUUGGGGNNNNNNNNNNNNNNNNNNNNNNNNNNNNNNNNNNNNNNNNNNNNNNNNNNNNNNNNNNNNNNNNNNNNNNNNNNNNNNNNNNNNNNNNNNNNNNNNNNNNNNNNNNNNNNNNNNNNNNNNNNNNNNNNNNNNNNNNNNNNNNNNNNNNNNNNNNNNNNNNNNNNNNNNNNNNNNNNNNNNNNNNNNNNNNNNNNNNNNNNNNNNNNNNNNNNNNNNNNNNNNNNNNNNNNNNNNNNNNNNNNNNNNNNNNNNNNNNNNNNNNNNNNNNNNNNNNNNNNNNNNNNNNNNNNNNNNNNNNNNNNNNNNNNNNNNNNNNNNNNNNNNNNNNNNNNNNNNNNNNNNNNNNNNNNNNNNNNNNNNNNNNNNNNNNNNNNNNNNNNNNNNNNNNNNNNNNNNNNNNNNNNNNNNNNNNNNNNNNNNNNNNNNNNNNNNNNNNNNNNNNNNNNNNNNNNNNNNNNNNNNNNNNNNNNNNNNNNNNNNNNNNNNNNNNNNNNNNNNNNNNNNNNNNNNNNNNNNNNNNNNNNNNNNNNNNNNNNNNNNNNNNNNNNNNNNNNNNNNNNNNNNNNNNNNNNNNNNNNNNNNNNNNNNNNNNNNNNNNNNNNNNNNNNNNNNNNNNNNNNNNNNNNNNNNNNNNNNNNNNNNNNNNNNNNNNNNNNNNNNNNNNNNNNUGGGGGCAGGUUUGAGGGUAGGGACAAAAUAAAUUGAUUUUUUCAACAAAAAAGUAAUUGUAAUUUGAAGUUGGAAGAGAGUUUUGGAAAAUGUUUUCCAUAAGUUUUGAAGGGAAGUCAUUUUCCUUAAAUUUGAGGAAAAUGAGUUGAUUUGGAAAACAUUUUCCAAAACAUUUAACCCAACCAAACAUGAGAAAAUUGAAAAACAUUUUCCGGAAAAUGUUUUCCUUCAUACCAAACACACCCGUAAUAUAGAAUGUGCAUUCGAUAACAAUUGAACCUAUAUAAUUUAAAUCUUGAAUGCCUUAAGAAUUCUUUUUUUUUUAAAUGUGUGCAUGCAUAAAAUUAGGCAGCUUUAUUUAUGAUUAUAUCCCACAUAAGAGAAAUAAAUAUGGCAAAUUGUAAAACUAAUUAAUAAAUAAACUCAAAAAGAGAGCAAUUCCAGAAGUAAAAUUCAUACCCAACACAGAGAAAAUUCAGCUUCUUUUGGCCCGGGGAAAGAGGGAUACAGAGAAGUGGUCAUUAUUAAUUCCACAAAUCUAAUCUCUCUUUACUUUUUUUUUUCUUAAUUAAUUUGCUAAUGUCGAUAACGACAUACAUUAUAAAAUAGAAAAUCUAAGACUCUCUUGGAUUCACUUGGCUCCCAAAAGUUCAAUUAAGUUUUGAAUAUUCAGGCACCCCAAAAGUUCUAUAAAUGCAAAUACAAUUUGAGAAAAUAAUAUAAAGUUAUUCAAACCCACUCAAUACAUGACUAUGUACCACGCUAUUAAUUAAACUUGGCACAAUCUAAAAGAAAACAAGAAGUGUAAAGUUUUAAUUCUUGUUGAGAUUAAAUUUAUUAGAGCAUUCAACUUUUACAUCUAAAAUAUUGAAUUUCAGAAUUUUAACUAGCAAGAAAAAAUAACAUCUGUUGAGCUAUGCUUGUUUUAGUAAAAUGAGUAAAACUGGUUCUUCAAAAAUAUGCAUGUUAUAAUUAGAACCGUCCUUUAGAAGGCUGCUAAAGGUAGGCAAAGUCAACGACCUUUUUUAUUUGUCAAACUUACUGUUGUUCGUCUUUUUUUUUAUUUCAUGUCAAAUUAUUUGCCUAUUCAUUUAUAAUAAUUGCGUAUAAAGUUGUUCCUUUCCCACAAUUAAAACCAACAUAGGCUUCUCUCUUCUGACCCAUUCAAAAAAAAAUUCUCCAUGCAGAUGUCAAAAUCUAAACUUUGUUGGGUCUAAUUACCAAUAGAAUUUGGAAUACAAUUUUAUUACUUCAAUAAGAAAAUAUAUUUAGUAUUUUUAACAAUAGAAAUAUUUUAGACUUUAAAUUAAACUAUUCAAAUUUUCAUGUUAUUAAAUAAUAUUUUUAUCAUAAGAUCCAAAGUAAUAUAUUAUAAACACAUGGCUAACCUAUUAUUAAUUUUAAAUGUCACUAAUAACAAUACUCUGAAAGAAGAGGAAGUUAUAUAAAAAGAAAAUUUUGGAUAGAAGAACUAACUAGACUAAUAAAGAAGAAUUAUUGAAUUUUGUCGAAUGAAUUUGAUUUGAAAUUGGAAUGAUUUCAAAUGUACAAGAACAUCCUAUUAAUAUUGUCUAUGUAUAAUUUUAAAUUUGUAAAAGAAAAAUAUUGAUAACACGGUUCAAUAAACUUGCCAAAUUACCAAUGUUUCAAUAUCUUCCUUAAUAAUUUUGUUGCAAAACUCAGUAAUGGUGUCUAGUGUGAGCUUUAUUUAUCAACUGAGUUAGAAGCAUUACAACAAAAUCACCAAUUGUAUAUAUCUGGAAAUUAUAUAAGAAAAUCGGCGACAAAUUAUGUUAUCCGUCAAUUUUCCUACUAAGAAAAUUUGAUGAUAAAAUCUUUGUGGGUAAAAUAUUUAUAUAUUGUAACUACUCUUUAAGAAUUGAUAGUGUAUGGUUAACUAAUUGAUAAAAUUAUUUCAUCAACUUUUAUCACAAACACAAGAACCAGUUGCUUCAAUAAUAUUAAUCAAGAGAAGUUUCAAAAUAAAAUUAGAAAAUACUCAAUAUUUAAUUCUCAUUUAAAAUAUUUAAAAAUAAGUAUACUUUAUGUAAUACAAGAUAAUUAAAUUACAAUCAUUAAUUUUAAUACAUGUAAAAAAAAAUACUAAUUUUAUUAGGACAUACUUUUAUGUGUAUCUUCUUUUUUUUCCCUCUUUGUUGCUCACAAACCAUAAAGAUUGAGAGUAUAUAUAGAAAUUUGCUUAGACAUGCGAAAAAUUUAUAUUAAAACUGAUAUCCAACACUAACUUUUAGUUGUAACUGAUUUUGUUAUAUAAAUAUAUUUUUUUAUUAUUUUCUUUGUUUCAAAAUAAGUGGCGUUAUUUUUUCAUUUUGUUUCAAAAUAUGUAGUGUUUUAGAUAAUCAAUAAAACACUAAUAAAAAUAUUUCAAUUUUAUAUUCUUUAUUUUAAAAAAAUAAAGAGAACCAAAGAAUUACUAAAAAGUCACAUUUUUUCAGAAAUUAAUAAAAAUACAUCUUAUCUAUGAAAAAAAUCAGAUAUGUGAAAGAAUUGUUGGAAUUGUUUAUUAAUGCAAAGGGCAAAUAUGAGUUGAAUUGCUAAAAAUAAGUGUAUAAAUAAACUAAACUCUAAUUUAUGUUUAAAAAAAUUAAGCAAUUUCAAACAUUACACGAGAAUUUUGGACAUCUAUCCUUAUAAUAUUAAAAAUGAAUUAAAAAAAGUGUACUUGUUCAUAAUGGUUGUUUUAUUUAUUUUUUAUAAUUAUUGUCGCACGUAUAUACAGGUGUAAACAUCGUGGCCUGCAAAGUUUUGGUAUGAACACCAAAAGCAAAUUGCAAUAAAGAUAGAGAAUUGAGGUUAUUUUUUGGGUGGGGUUAGGGGUUUACAGAGUAGUGCUCAAUUAUUGAACUCUUAGAAUUUUUUUCACAAAAUAAAUACACCUUUUUCCUAUUUUCUUUUUCUUUAAUAUUUUAAAAAUUACGUGGUUUAAUUAUAUACUACUAAAGAAAAUAUUGGAUCCUAAGAAAAACAAUACCAAGUUAAUAAACUCACUCAAUACAUAUGUGACGAUGUACCAUUCAAUUUCUGAAACGUGGCACAAUCUGAAAGAAAAACAACAAGAAGUAUAAGUUAUGUUUUUUUUAGAAUUAUUUCUUCAACCUAGCAGAUAAAGUACUUGAGUAUAAUCUAUGAGAUUUGAAGCUCUUUAAUGCGUUGUAAGAAUCAAGGCUUGUAUUUUUUUAUUCGUGAAAAAUGAAGGAAGAAAAAAGCAAUACAUGUUCUUAAAUUAUUUCUAGCUGAAUACAUAUUGGAUUUCAGAUUUUGAAUAUGUCCAACUUUUAAUUAGUCAUGUUAAGUGACCUGGGAGAGGAAAUGUGAGGACUUGAACAAUCCCAAUCUCAUCAAUUAAUUACUCCCUUUUGUUUCUUUUUAGUUGGUAUUGUUUUUUUUUUUUUAGAAUCAAACGAUAAGAAUUAAUUACUCCAUUUUUAUCGUAGCUUUGAUUUCAAAACCAAAUAGCCCUAAGGUAUGCUUUACUUUCUGAUUGUAGUUUUUAAAUUAAACAUUACAAAUGUGUUUACACUUUCAAAAAGAAAAAGAAGGAAUUAAUUAUUAGAGUAAAAUGAUAUAAAAAAAAAACUAAUUAUUUAUAAAUAAUAAAUAAUUUAAGAUCACUAUUUUUUUAAUAAUGAUUUAUAAUAAUAUGAAACAGAUGUAAUAGUAAUUAGACAGUACCACAAUUCCUCAAUAAAAUAAAAUUUUGAUAAGCAAUCAAGUGCAUCAGUAAAAUAUUGCAAGUGUGAUGUUUCUUCCAAUAGAGGUUCACGUAGACGACCAACGUAAAAAGCAAAGGAGUUGCUUUACAACCCACUAAAUAUAACAAAAAUAAUUAUAAACAGAUAUUAGUAAAGUAAUAAAAAAGAGAAAUCCCACACUUAUGAACAUAAGACAAUUUUGCUUUAGGAAAAUUGGUGGAAUUAUCAUAUUGAUUCAUUAGUGCCUUGAUUAGUUAAUUGGGCCAUUAAUUUAUCUUUUGACAUAGUGCUAUAGUCCUGGCAACAAUUAGAGUUUGGAGUAUUUUGACGAAAUAACAAACAAGGGUGGACGGUCGUGUUAGUAAAUGAAUUUCCAAGUUAACUAAUUUUCCCAUUUUACAUGAAAUUAACUUUAAUUAGCAAGUUUUCAUUUCCAGCCUUGGAUAAUAAAUACUUUGUCCAUUAUUUUAAAAAUAGAAUUUUCAUUUUUAUUUGUCACUUUUGACGUAUCAAAAAAAGAUAAUUAUUACUUUCAUAUUUUACCCUCGGCAUUAAUUGCUUAAUUAAUAAUCAUUUUUCAAAUAUAAUACUCCCUCAGUUCCUAUUUACUUGCCCAUUUUUUACUUGACAUAUCUAUUAAGAAACUAAUAAUUGAUACCGUGAGUUUACCAUUUUACUCCUCCUAUGAAUUGAUAGAAUUUCAAAAUAAAUUUACUCAUUAAAAAGGUUCUAUCUUUUUAAAAAAUAUUAGCUUUCUAAAUAAAUUAAAGAUAAAUAAGUAAAAUGUCAAAAUUGGACAAGUAAAAAGUAGAGCGAGGGAACAAGUAAAAUGUAGUAUUUUGGUAAAAUACUCCCUUCAGCCAUGGUUUUUAAAGGCAUGCAGAAUCCAAAAUGAACAGCAGAAAUAGUAUUAUGUACUCGGAGAAUCUACUUCUUGGGCGGAAAGAAAGGAAUGAUUUGUAAGUUGCCAUGUUAACUUUUACUUUUUCGAGCAAACAACUACAAGAGAAGGUUGUAACAAGUAGCCGACAAUCAACUUAAGAGAGAAAAAUUGUGGAAGCAAAAUUUCAGGACUUGAACCGUUUGCAAAUAAUAUACCGUAAUUAAGCAAGAAACAAACGGGUAUCGUCACAUUAAUAAUUUAGAGAAAUUUAUGAGAAAGAAAAUCAUGGAAACCAAAAAUUAAUUUACAGUAUUCAGAGCUCCCAAAUUAAUUCGCUAAUUAAAAAAAAAAAGGAAAACAUUAAGCAAAAGCAGAUGCAGCCUCUCUUCUCAAAUCUCUGUAGAAUCGAGAAAUGAAUUCAUCAGCUUUCUCGUCUACGUGGCUAAUCAUGUCACCAUUAUCAUCAGCUUCUCUUAGUGGGAAAGGCGAGUCAGUGAUCCUUAAUUGCCUCACCGUUGGAGUCCUUCCGAAUCCAGGCAAAGCAGGUGAUGCUGUUUCGCUCUGAAGCAUUUCUAAUGCCUUCAAAACGGCAGCGUUCAUCAUUGAAACGUCGUCGUGUUCAGGCUGAUUAUGCUUAUUAAUGCGCUUGUUCAUGUUGAAGGGGAGAUGGAAAGCUGGGCUGUUACUGCAGCUGAACUCGUAAUACUCUUUUGAAAUCGAUUGAUGAAUAUUAUUAUGGCCCUGAAACAUCAGAUUUUGGAAGGCGGCUUUGCCAGCAAUCUUACCACGUUUCAUUAAUAAGUUGAGAUCGAACAUUAGUUUCCUCUUUGAUGAUAAUCCUUUCCUCAACAUGAAAUAAGCCACGCGGACUAUCUUCCAGAACUUUUUCGCUAUCACUGGCAAUUUUUGAUCCAUUUUUUCUCUCUAAUUAAGUACUCUCUAUAUAAUUCACGAGCAGUAUUUCUUUUUUUCUUUUGAAUUGAAAUUUUGUUUGUUCACUUAAGAAGGAGAGACAAAUAUUGAUGAAAACUUUAGAGGAGAGUUUGUUUUUGUGGUUUAUGAGAAGAAUUAAGUGAGUGGUAUAUAUAGGGGGGUUUUCAUACAGAGGAAAAGGAUGUAAUGAAGUAUUCAAUAUGUUUACUUUUUAAUAAGUUGACACGUGUGGAUACGGACCACGUAUAGUUUGAGUUUAUUCAAUAUUUUAUUAAGACUUCCAAUUAUUAUACAAGGAGUUGGUGAUUUUCUGGAUCUAGCUUUAGGAAAGUCUUUUAUCAAAGUCAUUGUUACCCAAUACCCACAAGUAAAUUUUCCAUAUUUUCCUCUUCUUUCACAUGGAUAAAUUGCAAAUGUAAGUCCAAUUCCAAUUUUACAAAAAUAUCAUUUUAACAUAGUUUCCAAAUGCCUUAUGCUAAAUACUACUAUCUGAUUAUGAUAUUUUGCUAGAGACCAAAAAAAUACGUCGAGGACGGCUGUUCCUGUUUAAUUUCAUCACUAUGUAAUACCGCGAUUUUUCACCAUUGAAACAUUAAUCAAGUACUUUUUUCUUUUUUUAAAAUCGCAAAAAUCACCUUAAAUAUAGUAGGAGCUGAUUGGGAAGAUAAUACAUAAUAUUUCAUAUAAUAUAUUUUAAAGACAGGGAGAUCCACAAUUUUAAGUGUAUUAACUUUUAUUAUGAGUUUACUACCUUAUUGAGUUAAUAAUAAAUACUUAUCAAUAUUUAAUAAAUUUCUUAAUUUGUAUACAUGGUUUGGGCAAAGUCGAACUCGUAGCUUGACACAAAGCUUGAUCCGCCUCUGUGACUUUAAUAAGUAAUCUGACAUUAAUUAAGCUUUUUUCAUGUUUGGUUCCGUGACGUUAGAAGUACUAAUCAACAAAAUUAAAAGGGAAGCCGUAUAAUCAUUUUUUAUUUUAAUUAGAAGAAAAAGUGGAACAUGAUACAAAACGUAUCGUAGUUGUUAAUUAAUAUUGAAAUUGUUUACUUAAGCCGUUGAAAAAAGUAAACUUAGGAAGGGAGGUUUCUCAAAAGACUUUAACAAGCUGUCUCUUCUAAACAAAGAAAGGAAUGAAAUAUUACCCUACCAAGGAAACCCUUCUUUUGUGGAAAUUAAUAAGUUAACUGUGGGCAACAAAAUAAUCAUGAGAAAUAAGUCAAGAACGUAACGUUGCUCUUUUUUGUUAAAUUAUGACUAAACAACAAUAAUUUGACAGCCACUAGACAUCUUUAAUUAUUUUCAUUCAAUUAUAACUCAUCAUUCAUCAAUAUAUCCUAGCAAAUUCACUUGCACCGUGUGCUAAAACUCCUCCCUACUAAUCACUACUAUCUCCCAUUCAAAAUAUAAGUGAUGUUUUUAUCUUUUUAUUUUAUUUUAUAAUUAAGUGGUGUUUCAUAAAAUCAAGAAAAUGUUUACUUUUCUCUUCCAAUUUCACCCUUUUUAAAGUGUGUGCCCAAUUAGUGGAAAACACUAUUUAUUUAAAAUGGAAGGAGUAUUAUUUGUAAAGUUUUUGGGGUUAUGGAGCACUUGAGAUUAGUGAAUUAAUGAUAUGAGCGAAAAUCAUGAAUGGUCAGGGUUUAAAUUCUAAUAACGAUAAAAUGCGCAUGUAAUUUCCUGCUAUCUACUUAAACUUUGAUGUACCGGAUGACUAAUUAAUAUUCGGGGCAUAGGCGAAUUUAUAGUUUUAAGUUACAAAUUCAUGUGAAUUUAGUUGCUUUACCACAUACCUUCUUUUUAUAUAUUGAGAAAAAUUGAUUAAUAUUGAAAAAAAUAUUUAACGAUAAAUUAAGCUAUUAUUGCAGUAUUAACUUAAGGCCACGAACUCAUAAACUUAAAUGUGAAUUCGCCUCAUAUAAGUUGAGUAGUAAUUGAGCACUUGAUGAAAACACCACGGUGUCAGGGGUUCAAAUCCCUCCUCGCCCACAACCCGCCUAAAAGGGGAGUACCUUUACUUCAUGAAAGGAAAAUUAAUGAUUCAUAUAAAUCGUUUAGUGGAAAAUGUCCUGAAGAAAUCUAAUGAGUAACUAAUAAUCACGGUACAAUUCUUUAGAUAAUGUUUUGUUUCGUCUAUUAGUUGACUUUAGUGGAAUGUAUUAAAUUAGAAAAAGGAUGAGGCGUGCGUAGGAAUGACAAUGGGACGGGGCGGGUUACAAUGUAUGUGGGGCAGGGCGGGUUAAAUCUUUUGUGGGUGCAGAGCGGGACGGAUUUAAAUAUAUUUUUUCAAAAUUUACACGGGCGGGGCGGUUGUGGGUUAGGAUGAAGAAUCCCUAAAUUCGAUUUUCAACGGAACUGAUUGAAUAUUUAUUAAAAAAAAAUUGAAUGGCCAAAAAACUACUAUAGAAUAUGUAUUUUAUAUUGAAACAUUGGUAAUUUGGCUAGUCUUUUGACUGUGUCAAUAUUGUUCUUUCACAUUUAGAAUCAUCCAUAAACAACUAUAAACAAAGAUGAUCUUUGUACAUUUGUAAUCAUUUCAAUUCAAAGCAAUUCAACCAAAUUCAUGAAGUUUUCUUCAAUAGUUUAGUUAAUUCUCCUAUCCAAAUUUUCCUUUAUCCUUUUAUAACUUCAUCUUCUUUGAGAUAGUAUUGUUGGGAAUAUUUCAAAUUAAUAAGAUUUCAGUUAUGUGUUAGUAAUAAAUUACUUUGGAUUUUAUGAUAAAAAAUAUUAUUUAACAAUAUAAAGAUUUGACUUGUUUAAUUUAAAGACCAAAAUGUUUCUAUUGUUAAAAAUAAAAAUCUUUCUUGCCUUAUUUUUUUAAUAAAGAUUUUGUACUUUUUUUUCUUAGCAAACUUCAAACUUCAGUAUUUUAUUUUUUAACAAAAAUAAAAUCAUAAAUCUACCCUAUAAAUUAUUUGGUGCUCCUAAUUUUUUGAGACUUGAAACAAAGACUUUACUAUCUUCUUCUUUUUUGAGUCAUCACCAUUUGUUUUCCCAGCAAAUAACUGAUGUAUACAUUUUUAUCAUCACUAAUUCAGUAGAUUUAAUUGUUAUAAUUGAUGAUGAAAAAUCUAUUUACAUAUGUUAAUGAUGAAGUUUUCUCCAAUUUCAUUCACCUUUCGUCCACCCAAAUUGUGUAGGCUAUGACAACACAUUUCCUUAGCAACAUUUUCAUUUUCAAUCCGUUCCGCACAAUAACUUUUUUCAUUUUCAAUCCAUUCCAUCUCACCCCACAUAGACCUGCCCCACAUGAACCCGCCCUGCAUGAUUUCUUUAAUAUUUUCUUUUUCUAGUUAAGUUUGAUACUAAAAAUAAAAUUCAUAAAAAUAAAUUUAUUUUUUCAAAUUGUAAUAAAACCUAAAAGCCAGAGUCUAAACAUGUAAAUAUAAAAUUAUACGUAUUAAUGUAUUUAGUGAAGGAUAUAAUCACUAGGAGCCUCUAUAGUCAAUCAAUUUGAUCAAUUAAGUUUCUUAAGCACCUGUUUAAAAUCAUUAAUUAAGUUUUGCGUUAGAAUGUCCGUGUGAAAUUGGAUAAACUCAAAAGAACAAUCAAUCAUAGCUCUAAUGAUUAUUAUAAUGAAUUUUAAUCAUUGGCCUCAUUUUAGGUGAUUGACAUGUAAAUAAUAGAGGUGUAAUUACAAUUACUAGGCCCUAAUGAAGCCACGUGGAUUUUUCUCCUAUGAGGGGUUACUUGCCCAUGACACUAGCUCGUACGCUAUUGAAAUUAAUUGAGCCAAGGUAGCACACUCAUCUCUCUUAUGAACUUGUGGAAUUCUAGUAGGAUUUGUUUGAUCAGAUGAUACUUUCUUUAAUCACUUUCAUAUUUUAUAUUAUAAGAGUUAAUUUAAUUAAAGUAUGUUUGCUAUUAAGAAAAUAAUAUAGUCAAAUUUGCAAUUAAUUCAUGUGAAAGGAGAGGGAGAAAAAUCUUUGAAAGUGACUUAAAAGUAGGCUAUUCAAAAUCGAAUCGAAACUGAUAACUCAAAUCGAAAAAAGUUAUUUGCUUUAUCAGUAAUGAAUUAUUGAUUUAGCGAUUUUAAUAACUGUUUUGAUUUUUUUUUAUUAUUGGGUUACCAAUUCUUAAGAGUUUGAAGUUUUUUAUUAGGAGGUUAAGUUUUUCAUGGUAAUGCGCACUUCUUGUUUGUUCCCACACAGCUGUUUGCAAUCGAAAAUAAAACAAAUGACAUUAUUAUAUUAUAUAGUAAAAAAGGGACAGUUGAAACUCCACGCUUGGGUCUUAAAGCUAAGCAAGUGUGUUAAUUGUUUAUAUUUAGUGGUAGUUUCCUUCUCUUGCUUUUGUAUUGUUUGUGCUUUUUCAAGCUCUGAAUGCUUUUAAAGUGCUUAACCAAACCAAAACAUGGUUUUAUACCCAUUGUUUAGGCCAUAUUGGGUUGAAAAGGAAAAAGAUUUGCAAUAGCUUUUGGCCCAAUAGAUUAAGUUUUACCUAAAUUAGAUGUACUAAGCAUUUGGACUGUACUUCUGUAGUCUAUAGCCAGGUUUGGGAUUGGUUAUCAAAAAGAAGCCCACUAUUCCACUUUCUAAGAUUUGCCUUAUAGUUAAUCACAAUUGUUAAUUUCACGUGUUUUCCUAUUAAAAAGGUGUUUUGGCACCAUUCCAAAAAUAUUAAGCUUUAUUAAAGCGUUUCCAAAAAGCCUAUUUAGUAGCUAAAAAAUGCAAUUCAACUUGGACUACAUGAGUUCAUUUUUUAGGCCACUAAUAUUUUGUUAGGUUGUUCGUGUUCCUUUUAACUCUAUUAAAAAAAAAAGUUUAACUCGUAUACAAUGAUGCACAAAAGAAUAAGAGGUAUUUGCUCAUAUGAUAAGCACUUGCAACUUAAAGAUUGUAGGUUCAAAUCAUUGUGGAGUCACCGUUCAAAUCACCAAGUACCAAAAAAUGGUGGGAGCUCUCAUGAACGGAUAAAAAAAAUUAAAAUAUCACUUUUGCAACUUUAAUGGUGCCAUAGAUCGGAAAUCCUUUGUUACGGGGAACUUAGGAAUCGUUUGGUAAUGGGAUAAGGUGUGAUUAAUUUUGAGAUUAAUUUUAGGAUAAGUUUAUUCUACUUAGAUUGAGACAAAAUCGCGGGAUAACUUAUUUUGAGAUUAUACUGUUAUUUUAUCUCAUAUUAAGGAUGGAAUAACAAUUUUGAAAUAACUAAUCCAUACUAAUUAAUUCUGAAAUAACUUGUUCUUCAACCAAACAAGGCCUAAGGGAAGUAGUCCAAGGAGGCACGGUUUCUUAUGGUCCAUGUAAGAAUAGUGGUGGGCUGAUGAUAAGUUGGGCGACCCAAUUCUUGGAAAAUUAUGUCCGAUAAAGUCUGGGCUUUCACCAUUGGAUGUUCCAAUGCCCGAAUUUAUUUAGAGAAAAUUUAAAUAAAAUAGCAAACAUAAUAGAUAUAAUAAGACUCUAUAGCUAUAGUUUAGAUGAUUGUGCUUCAUAUUUAUAGUUCCGUUUGCUAUGGAGGUUGCGGUUUGUAUAUUUUUGCACGUUUGUAUAUUUCACUUGUGAAUAUACAAACUGGAUAAGUAUAUACAAAUUCUGUAUUUAUACAUUUAUAAAUUUUUCAGAACUUCGUUUGUAUAUUUCGCUUGCCAAUAUACAAACAUGGUAAUUUAUUAUGAAGUUUUCAUAUAUCGUAUACAAAUAGCUAGGGUAGACAUAUACAAAAUUCUGAAUUUAUACAAUCAUGAACUGAAUUAUACAAAUUAGGCGAAUAACAAUAAUUGGGAAAACUUGUAGCCGCAAAUUACAAUUUUCUUAAACUUUAGCUAUAAUACCUAGUAUAGGCUAAAUGUUUGUUAUUGUGCAUAAUUUUCCCAUUUAUUUGUUUCUUUAUUUUUUGGUAUCUUAUGCAAAUAACCACAAGCUUCACUUCUUACUUUUCCUCUAGUUGAUAUACAUAUUAUACAUGAAUUUUAUAUAUAUUAUUGAAGAAAAACAACUAAAAGUUCUUUUGUAGCACGUAUAUUAGCAAUUGGAAAAAAUUAACAUGACUGAAAUUGCAAAUAAGUCAAGUUGCAAGAUGAAAGAGCGGGAUAUUAGCCAACAACAUAUUAUUUAGCUUAUCUUGUUGUCAUACAUAUAAACAGUACAAUUUCAUAAAUGUUUAUAAUGAUCAUUUUUAUUCAUACGUAAUGGAGAUAUUUUAUUUAUGAAAGCUGUAGUCGAUAUCACUCUCGUGAGAAAUGACGACCGUUAAGUUGGCGUCGAAUUUAAGCCACAACUAAAGUCGUCGCCGAAACUACUGAAAAGUAUUGUAUAAUUUACUAUAGGGGCGGACGGAGUCAGGAGAAAAGAGUUCAUCCAAAUUUCCUUAUACGGUACAAUAUAAAAUUAAUUAUUUGUUAUGAAUAUAUAGUAGAUAUUGAAUUCACUUGAUUUUUUAUUUUAUUUUUUGUAUAUUUACAUCUUUAUAUUUUUGAAUUAAAUUAAUGAAAAUCCUGAUUCCGACACUGAUUUAGUACAGACCAAUAUUGACAUGAAUUGAAUACAUAGCAAGUUAUAUAUGGUCGUGAUUUAUCUUCCUAUUUUUAUUCUUUAAUUUAAAACAUGUGAUUGAUGGGGACCUUAGUGUUAGGGUUUUGCCCUGAUUUUCUUAUCAUAAUUUAAGAUUUAUUUUUCCUUAAAGAAAAAACAAAACAUUACCAUAAAUGUUUUUACUUUUCUUGAAAGGAAAAUAUAAUAUUAUUUUAUAUUUGGUUUAUUCUCUCCUUUUCUAGUAGGAAAGGUUUUAUGACUCUAUAAAUAUAGGUUUGUUUCUUCUAACACAAGAACAAUAACAUCCACAAUGUAGUCGUUUAAGAGUCUUGUUUAUGGAGAGAUUUAUUCCCUCUAAAGUUUCAAUGUUUUUCUUUAUAUUAGUUUUGAUAUAAUACUAUUUUGAUUUUUAGUAUAAGUUUUGUUAUCUGAUUUAUCAACUAUAUGAUUUGCAAAUUGCAAGCUUCCGCAUGACGCCCUAUUCACCCUUCAUAACCCAACACUUAGCUUGUUAUAACCUUCUAUUAAUAAUUAAUAACUAGCACUAUAUAUACCACAUGAUAAUUGAUAGCUACAUUGUCACGGGAACAGGGAGUUCGACAAUGAUGUUGUAAUGUGUAUAUGUAUAUAUAUAUAUAUAUAUAUAUAUAUAUUUGAUUGAUUAAUACUCCAUCGAGUUGAAUUUACUUUGUAAAAAAACAACUUAUAUAUUUGAAUGGUCGAACAACGACAACUUGUGACUGCUAGCUAGAAAGUUGAUCUCCUUUUUGUUACUGGACAUAACUACAACCUCCUUUCUGAGUAGUAGUAAUUUUUAGUGUCAAGCUCCAGAAGUUACAAGAAAAAAAAAAUUAAAAUGUCACAAUUUAAAAUAAAAAAUAAAAUAUUUAUCAGAACAUGGUCGAGGUAGGAAUUAUGCUAAGUAAAGGGAAAUGGAAAAACAAAAUUGCUUAGAACUUCGUUGCUAACAGAUUUUUUUUAAGGGAAAAGGGUCAAAUAUGCCCCUAAACUAUGCGAAAAUGUCUAGAUAUACCCUUCGUUUAGAGUUUGACUCAUCUGUGCCCUCGUCGUCCAACUUUUCGCCCAUAUAUGCCCUUGUAGACUUUAGUUGCUUUGCUGGAAAUAACCAAUUCAUUUUUGCAUAGGGUAUAUCAACGAAAUUUUAUUGUUUAACUAUAGAAUUUGUCCAUCAUUUAUUUUGUUUUUCUAAUUUUCCAUCAUUUAUUUUUGUUUUUCUAUCUUGAUUUUGAACUAUCGAUCCUAACGUGGAUCCAAGAUUUGAAAUUUGAGUAGGGCAAUAAAGAGUAAGCAAGUUCCAUUAUUUCUAGCGCUUGAUCAAGAACUUACUUUGUUACUAGAUUCCCCUCAAAUAGUUUUUAUAUAUUUAAUAAAUUUCUCAAUAUAAUUAAUUACAAAAUCUACUCAAAAAUUACUAAUAUCUCGACGCCCGAUACCGUAAAUCCUCCGUCAUGAAGUAGAGUCCAUUAAAAAAAAUAGAAAAUUGUUUUCCCCUAGAAAAGUAGUAAAUUAGCAACAGUACAAAUAUAUAUCCACAAAUACACACACACAAAAGCAUCACAUCACGCACAUGAAGAAGCAUGCAAAAGUUUUGCCUUUAUGUUAAGACUUGUGCUUGCUCUUCAUGAAAAAUCUAGCACUUUCAUGAUUACUACACAAUUCAUGCUUAUUGACAUACAAUAGUGACAUCUCAAUCUCCAUACUCCACACAACUCCUACUUUUUGUCUUACAACUUGUAAACCAACAACUAUAAAUAGCAACCUUGUUACUCUUACUCAUUCAUCUUCAUAUCAUCAUUUUCUUAAAAAAAAUAAUUAAUAAUCAUUUGGUACCAAAAAAAAAAAAAAAAAAAACAAUGGCACCCCAUGGAGAGACAAUUACCAAAUCAUCCUACCUUCGAACAAAAAACGUUACCAAGCCCCCUAGACUCUCCAACGAUAAUUUACAACGUACAAUGUCCGAUAUUUCGUUCGAAUGGAACGCGAUAUGUCCCGUUGAUUCUUCAAAUCUACCACCAAUUUCCGAAGUAGAAAAUGCGAAGUGUGAGUGUUGUGGUAUGAGCGAUGAAUUCACACAUGAAUAUAUCGAUCGCGUUCGAAAAAAAUAUUCAGGCAAAUGGAUAUGCGGCCUAUGUGCAGAAGCAGUAAAGGAAGAAGCGGAAAAAAAUGGAGGAAAAAAUGAAGAAGCAUUAAGUAGUCAUAUGAGUUCUCAUAGCAAGUUUAAUAAAUUUGGUAGGGUUUAUCCUGUUCUUUAUCAAGCUGAAGCAAUGAGAGAAAUGUUGAAGAAAAGUAGUAGAGAUGGAAGGGGAAUUCUUAGAGCAAAAUCUAUAAGUCCAAGGGAUAAAAUUGUCAUAAAGAAGGGUACUACUGGGAUUGCAAGAAGUACUAGUUGCAUUCCUGCAAUUACUAAAGAGAUCAAUGAGCUUAAUUAAUUAAUUAACCUAGAUAAUUUGAUUUACUGGUCUAAUAUGUUGUGGAAUUAAUAAUGUUUAAUAACAAGAUUUGGACUAAUUAAACUAUUGUGUUAGUUACUCUUCGAGUUUUUUGGGGUUAAUUAGUUCAGGUUUUUAACCUUUUUUGUUCUCUCGUGUUAUGAGGGGUUUUAUGGUCACGUUUGUAACUCAAAUGUGACUGACCAAAUUUAUAUCCAUCACCUCAGGAUGUUUAAUGUUGGUCUAUGAUGUAUUAUAUUUUAUUCAAAUUAAUACGAUCUAUUUGAGUAAGAUUUUAAAUAAUAUAAUUGGUGUAAGUCUUGAUUUUAAAGUAUAAAAGAUGUAUUUUGGGAUUGAUGAUAAGUCAUAUUAGCGGGAUGCAUGUUUAGUGUAUUUUAACUAAAUUAUUAUCAACAUUCUGGGCCGACCCAUUAUUUUAGUUGAGCAUAUAAAGAGCAUUUUCAUAGAGCACACCAGUAUAUGUGCUAUCACUUAACACAUCAAUGAUUUGAAUAAUUACGCAUCUUAUUCGAGUUAUCUCUUGAUAUAAUAUAUUUGCUUCUAAAUACAUUGUUUCUAGCUAAUGUAUCUUGCAUUUUUUCUGCUCUUACUCUCCUCUAUUUCUUUGUUUCUUUUUCAUCCCUCUAAUUCAUCUGGUGUAUAAGUAUUCAAUACUAGUUUUCAUGUAUCCAACAUAAAAAAAGUAUUAUUUUAUCUAGUGUAUAUGUGCAAUGUUACAAUUGCUUCUGAGUGGACACUUAUAUAUCCAGUAUAUUUGUGAUGUGUAUAAAUACAUAUAUUUGGUAUCAAAUUUAUGAUGUAUCCAGUAACUAGUGGCCUUCAAUGACUAUCUAUUAUCAUACAUAGUAGAAAGCGGAGAGAGAGAAAGAGGCAAGAGCGAGAAAAAGGAGAGGGCAAAGAGCGAGAGAUUAUGUAAUUUUUUUGAAGCAUAGUGAUCGAUAUCUAAUAGAUAUAGUAUAGUAUUAAUGAUUGUCUAAUUAGGUAAUGUUUUCAUAUAACUAAUCCUAAUAAUGGGAUACUAGAAGUAGAGAGUACCUCUUUAGAAUGAGGCCGAUGGACCGGGUACUUUUUUGGAGAGGCGGCCCGAGGAAACAAAGCCCAUUAUAGCUAAACAUCUACAAAUUAUUUCAAGGAAAAAUUAGAUGAGUAAUUUUUAAUUAAUAAAUCUUUACUAAUUUUAAUUUUAGUGAUAUUUUCUAUUUAUUACUAUUUAUAGCACUACAUAGUACUACUAUGAUAAAUCUGCACAAUGUAUUUAAAAUGAAUUAUGAAUGCAACAUAGAUGUAUUAUAAGUGUUUUAAAAUAUAUUAUGCUUGUUUGGUAAGAAAUUGACAUAAUUUAUAGUAAGUGUAUUAAAGUGUGUGUUAAAUAUAUUAUUCAUAAAAAAAACUUGUUUUAUAGAUUUUUCUUUGUAAAUUGUAAUAUGUAUUAAAAUUAUAUUAUAAAUAUAUUAUAAGUAUCCAGUAAAAAUUACCUUAGGUUGAAAGUACCAUCAUCUUUUUCCAAUUCUUCUAUAUAGAUUGUUCUUGCAUUCAGAUUAAUUAUACUCUCAAGUAAUCAAAUGUUUAUUGGUUAUAGAAUUAUUUGGCUUGACAAGUGAGAUGACUACUCAAAUUUCUAUUAUGCAAUUAUACUUUGGCUCUCAUCGAAGUAAACAAGUCACUAUUAUUGCUUCCUUCUGUUCCACUGACGGAUUAAUUUAGGCAAGACUAAUAAAGUUUUGUUUAAAUUGUUGUUUAGGGGAUUAAUUAUUCCUUAACACGUAUCAAUGUACUACCUCUUAAUCAUCAAUUUAUUAAGGUUUUCAACCAAUCAAAACAUGUCCAUAUUAGACAGUUUCCAUGGACCAUGUUAAGCUGAUUACUUAUAAAAACCACUAAAAUAUUACUUACAUUAAUUUUAAAAAAAAAAAAAACUUUAUGACAUGCAUGCUCAAGAGGGUUUUCUAGAAAUCAUUGUAGGAAAUUAACUAUCUCCUUAAUUCUUGAUUAAUGUACAGUUAGAAAAAAAAUUAUGGAUGUCUAAGUUCUAACUAGCAAAUUGUUAUGUGGUGUAAUACUUAAUAAUUAAUCUGACAACUAGGCCUUCUCUAAAGGACAUAAAUUAAAUACAAGGAAACAAGAAAGCUUCAUUGUGAUCACGACAGUUUACCAGAUACAAUUAGGUCUUUUAUGUGAAAUCUAUCUAAUAUUAAUACUAUAGAGAAAAUAAAGUGUUUAAUUUACGCAUAGCUUGGUCAGAUUUGUUUAUGUUUAUAUUUCCAGAAAUAUAUGUAAAUUGUCCGUCCAUAUUGCUUGAUUGACAAAAGAGGAAGUACUAUAAAAUAAAAAAUUUAAAAGUGAUCAUCAAGAUAUUUUCAUUUCGCUCCUUGUAAGUCCGUCACCUUAUUCUACUCGUGAAAGUGAUGCAUGAUAACUGGGCCCUUAGUUGUUGCAUCAAAUACCUGCAUACGUUUAUUUAAGAUAAAGCUAUAAAUUCGUGAUCUUUAUUAAUUAAGAUUGAUUAUUUCAAUAAAGUAGGUGCAAAUUAAAACUCUAGUAGAUCGAAGUUACGUUAAUUAGAACAACUAAUAUCAGAUCCUGUAAAAUAAAAUAAAACAACUUUUAACGGCAAUAAAUAUGCACAUUAAAAAAGACGGUUAAAUCUUUAUUAAUUGUCGUUGGAUCUAAUGCCGUUAUAGGCUUUAGGAAUAUUUACAAAGAGUGGUAAAUGCCUCUAACAAAACAUAUUUAACGACAAUUAAGAUUUUGUUGUUAAUUAACUGCAGCUAAAAUUCAUUUUUCGCCGUAGUGAAAGCAAAUUAAUAAUUCAGUUAAGUCCUCUCAGUGCUCAUUAGAAUCUAUAAAAAUAAAAAUAAGAUUAGAUAGCUGGAACUGUGGAUUAGUACAUGAAAAUCAUUAAUCAUGUAAUUUGAGACCCACCUAAAGCAAAUAGUAUUUUGGAGUAUAGUAUGAGUUGAAAUAUUUUGUACGGAUUAUGCCCAAUAAAUCUAGCUAGGAGUAACUUUUAAAGGAACAGAUGAGCUGGAAUUGCAAUUUGGGAAGAUGUGAUAUCCAGCUCGUUAGUAAUUUCGUUUUUGUUAUUAUUAUUAGCACUUUUUUGUUUCUCUUAAUGGUAGUCAUAAUCCAGAUUAACGUUCAAAUAAUUGGAGUUUAUCUCAUAAAUUUGCCAUACUUUAAUGAUUAGAAAAAUAAUGCUGACACGAUAGGCUUGUUGAAUAAAUUCUAUAGUUGAGUUAAUUCUAACUAUGCUAAUUAAGUCUAAUGCAAAGAUAUAACAACAAUUCGUUUCAAAGGACAAAACAUAUCUGUUCCAAAAGACAAACAAGGGGGUUUCUGUAAAAGCGAAGUAAUGGCCUUUAAUGCCAUUAACCUUGACAAUCCGUUUCUCAAAAUGAAAAAUUAACUCUUCUAUUUGAAACUCCUCCUUUUGAAAUAUUUAUAUAAGCAUGACCUUUUGUGAGCAUAAGAGAUAUACAACAAAAACCAAAAAAGAAGAGAUAAAGUUUUUCCUCCUUUCUUUUCUUAAGCUUAUUCUUGGAAUAUUUUUGGGCAAUUGGUCUUGGGCAAUCUCCAAACUUUCAGCCACGAGUGCACGUGUUUGAGAGUAACUGUGGAACCUUGGGGAGCGAUCGGUAACUACGAUUUGUACCGGAGUCGGGCUGAAAUCGCUUUCAAGGCAGUGGCUUGUCACGACACAGUAUUUGUGAUAAGCUAUUUAAUUACUACUUUAUAAUUCCAAUUCAAUAUCAAUAUUAUAGUAUUUUUUCCAACAAGGCUAACAAGAAUAAAAGCGAGACUAUUGUUACUUUAUCAGACAUGAUAGAAUUAUGUCAAAUGGUGGUCAAACGUCAAGCGAAAAAGAAAUUAUUUCGUAAAUAUACAGAGAAUAAUAUAUAGUGAAAUAAAAUUCAUAAAAUCGUACAUCACACAACUAUCGAUUUCUUGGAUUCAAAAAUCAAAAUACAUAAUACAAGUGUAUAUAAAAAAAAAUGUCAUCAUUAAAGGUGGUUCAUUACAUUAUCAGUUCUCCUUAAUUUUAUUUUUUUCAAAGUGGGAUUUAAACUUGAUCUCUAAAAUUUUCACCUACUUUAUUGAACUCCGCUUCAUUAAUAUAUCUUUUUCGAAAGUGUAUAGGUUCUUGUAAGCAACGAUCAGUCAUUCGUAACCAACCUCAAUACUUAAAUACAAUUGGCUGAUCAUGUUAAUAUCGUGAUAAUUGUUUGCCCUAUUUUGUAGGUAUAAAUUAAUCUCUUUAAGUUGAUUACGAUUGAGAACUAAAACCAAAUAUAUUAUGUAUUCUCUUGACUUUCUGCUCUUUUAAUAUUGGAUUGUAAUGAACAAUUAAUAUAACGUACCAUCAUGAUUCAUGUACUUAACUAACAAUUUUGGUGUGAUUGUAACGUUAGUUUCAAAGGGAAGAUUAUCAGAAAUCCACUCAUCUCCGACGUGGAGCAAUAUUAUAAAGAACAACUUUCACAUAUAGCAAACACAAAAUUCAUAUUUGUAUGCUAUAGCAAAGUUUGCAUAAUUGCACUCCAUAGUAAACAUAAAUAUGUAUAUUUCGCUAUACAUAUACAAAAGAAAGCAGUUGUAUAAUCUGUACAUAUACAAAAAGAUCAAUUGUAUAAAGUGAGAGAGGUGAGUGAGCGAGCGAGAUCUGGGAGAGGGGAGAGAGGGGAACGAAAAUAUAUGUAUAUAUACAAUUUUCUCUCGCUUUAUACAAACACAAACGAACUUUAUACACUUGCGUUUGUAUAAAAAACGAGAGAGGCGAGGGAGAGAACGAGAGUGGCGAGCGAGAUUCACCAGGAGAGAGGUGAAAUAGCAACAGUUUNNNNNNNNNNNNNNNNNNNNNNNNNNNNNNNNNNNNNNNNNNNNNNNNNNNNNNNNNNNNNNNNNNNNNNNNNNNNNNNNNNNNNNNNNNNNNNNNNNNNNNNNNNNNNNNNNNNNNNNNNNNNNNNNNNNNNNNNNNNNNNNNNNNNNNNNNNNNNNNNNNNNNNNNNNNNNNNNNNNNNNNNNNNNNNNNNNNNNNNNNNNNNNNNNNNNNNNNNNNNNNNNNNNNNNNNNNNNNNNNNNNNNNNNNNNNNNNNNNNNNNNNNNNNNNNNNNNNNNNNNNNNNNNNNNNNNNNNNNNNNNNNNNNNNNNNNNNNNNNNNNNNNNNNNNNNNNNNNNNNNNNNNNNNNNNNNNNNNNNNNNNNNNNNNNNNNNNNNNNNNNNNNNNNNNNNNNNNNNNNNNNNNNNNNNNNNNNNNNNNNNNNNNNNNNNNNNNNNNNNNNNNNNNNNNNNNNNNNNNNNNNNNNNNNNNNNNNNNNNNNNNNNNNNNNNNNNNNNNNNNNNNNNNNNNNNNNNNNNNNNNNNNNNNNNNNNNNNNNNNNNNNNNNNNNNNNNNNNNNNNNNNNNNNNNNNNNNNNNNNNNNNNNNNNNNNNNNNNNNNNNNNNNNNNNNNNNNNNNNNNNNNNNNNNNNNNNNNNNNNNNNNNNNNNNNNNNNNNNNNNNNNNNNNNNNNNNNNNNNNNNNNNNNNNNNNNNNNNNNNNNNNNNNNNNNNNNNNNNNNNNNNNNNNNNNNNNNNNNNNNNNNNNNNNNNNNNNNNNNNNNNNNNNNNNNNNNNNNNNNNNNNNNNNNNNNNNNNNNNNNNNNNNNNNNNNNNNNNNNNNNNNNNNNNNNNNNNNNNNNNNNGAGAGGGGAACGAAAAUAUAUGUAUAUAUACAAUUUUCUCUCGCUUUAUACAAACACAAACGCACUUUAUACACUUGCGUUUGUAUAAAAAACGAGAGAGGCGAGGGAGAGAAAGAGAGUGGCGAGCGAGAUUCACCAGAAGAGAGGUGAAAUAACAACAGUUUGCUAUGAGGUACAAUUAAAUCAAACUAAAUUUAUAGCAUUUAAUUUGAAUUAAUAGUUUGCUAUUAUAUACAAUUUUCCCUAUUAUAAAUGUUGAAAUAAGUCGAUGAUACAUUGGGACAUUUCUUGGGUUAAACGAUUGUCCGAUUCUUGAAGAUUGAAGAUUUGAUCAAACUGCUAAAGAGUACACUAUAUUUUUUUUUGGUUUCCCACCUGAUACAUAAGAGGACAUUUGUUGUGUUAAAUGAUAUUAGAGGUUCUUGAAGAUUUGAUCUAAUUGCUAAAAUAUACUAUAUUUUUUUGGUUUCUCACCUAUUGAUCGGAGUCCGCAUAAGAGGUCUGAUUAAAUUUGGAUCGUUCACUAUCGGGGCUACAUUUUCUCAAUACCCAUAGCUCAAACCCGAGAUAUUUAACUAAAGGUGAAACAAUUCCACCACUGCAUCACAAUCCGUGAUACAAAGUAUACUAUAUAUAUAAAUCUUCAUAGUUCAUAGUAUAUAUGAUGAUUAAUCAAAAAUUAAUUGUUCUAAUUCGUACAUAAUUGAUAUGACUGAUCUGAAAAAUAAAAUAACCUCAUCACAUGGACGUACAUCAUGGAAUAGAUAAGUGUCGAGAGAAAGAGAUCUUAAUUAACUAUCACUUUACCUGGCUAAUUAAUUGAGAGCUAGGUACAUAGAGAAAAACAAAAUUGUAAGUAUAUUGUUUAAACUAAGGACUAAAUUAGUUUAUUGUUUAACCAUAUAUGUAAAUAAUAUUAUAUAUGGUCCAUAAUUCAUAUAUGCAAAUAGUCCAUGCCCUAUUGGAGGAGUAGGGUAUCCCAAUUAAGGUGAUGAUAUCUUCAAACAAAGAAAAAAUAUACUUAUAACGAGGAAUCAUUUUUGGUGGAGCAAUGCCAUUAGUUUCGCAGCAUUAAUUCUCUCCUUCUGAGCUUUUGUUUAAUUAUCCCUCUAUAUAAAUUAUUCCUCCUAUGGUCUAAUUCUUUAACUGAUAAAAUUUGGGGUGGGGGAGGGGGGGGGGGGGCCCCCCGCGUUUUCUUUUACCUUNNNNNNUCCCCAUCGUUUUCUCUUACACUUUUUAUAUAGGCUUAAACUAGUACUACAACUUUAAGCCAAGUUAGCUAGUUGUUAUGUAGAAAAAAGAGACGAAGUCACCGCAACAAAAAAAAAAACUUUUAACAACAAUAAAUAUACAUAUUAACAAAAAUUGUUAAAGCUUUUACCAGUACUAGUUUAUUGUCAUUGAAUCCAAUGUCGCUAUAGACUUUAGAGACAUUUACAAAGAGUGUUAAUUGUCGCUAAAAAUACAUAUUUAAUAACAAUUAAUCUAUUGUCAUUAAUUAAUGCUGCUAAAAAUCAUUUUUGGUGUAGUGAGUUGACCUAAAAUAAAAUAAUGCACAAAACAUUCGCAUUAACAGUGUUGUAGAAGAGCCAUAUGGCAAAGAAUAUGAUAUAUAGGAAAGAUUUGUAUUUAUUGUGGAAAUUUUGUUUUCUCUGUGAUUAAUAUCUCCUCUUUUUUUUCAAAUCUCAUAAUUUACUAUAAAUUCUUUCAAUAUUUCCUUUCAUGGCAAGAAUAUCAUUUAUGAUAAAGAGGAUGAGAUUAAGAGAUUAAUUGAUUCAGAGUGUUUGCAGAGUGAAACCAUACAACCAUUAAUAACUGCUUCCACAUCUUGGACCCAUAAUCCUACAAAUCACACGAUAAGACAAUCUUCACCAUUGCUAUAAGGCUCCUCUUCGAAGUAUUGUUUUAAAGAUCACUUGUAAACUUUUGAAAACACUAAAAUGAAUCACCAUAAAAAAAGCAAAAAUAUUCAUGUGGAAGAUACACAUUAUUAAUUGAGAUAGAGAAAGCCAUGGAUCGGAGAUGAUGAUCAGACAUGAAAGAUAGACCAUAAAUAGGGGAAUAUGUUUCACAAGAAGGAGGCAUAUAAACAGCGACUAAAUAGUAGAGUUAAAACAUAUUGAAAACGAACCAAAUGGAUGAAUGCAAAACGUGGCUGCAUUAAUAAAUAAAUGAAAGGUGCACAUUGAAUCAAUGAUUGCCAGUUAAGACCAUUUUUGUACACAAAAUUUCACCACUUAUCCCUUUUAAAAUAAUUACUAUUUAAUAAAUAACUUAUUGUAAUUUAUAAACAUUUUAGAGCAUAAUCUGAAAGUUAGUCGAUAGUAUAAUGUUUUGUUAUUAAUCCUAAAGACUAUAAUUUUUAAAAAAAAAAAAUCAUAUGUCCCCGAAGGAGCUUUUAAAAAUAGGGGCAAAAUCUGAAUAGUGACAAAUUAAAAGGAACAUUUGAAUAAAAUGAUCAGUACAUUUUGUAACUGUUAAAAAAGUUUUUCAUUUAACAAAACCAACGAAUAGUUCUUAAAAUAAAAUUACAGUUCUUCUUUAAUACAAAAACAAGAAGAGCCAAGUUAUUUAAAGAGUUAACCAUAGGAGACUAAAAUAAAAGAAAAUGUCUUUAAUAGAAGGAAUAUAAAGAACAUAAUGGUAGGACCUAAAUAACUAGGUGUAAUGCGGAAGCUGGUAAAGCAAACUUCGAAAGACCAUGAGUAAGAAGAUAAAUGAUAAAUAUAUCAAAAGACACAAAAUUUAGCGUGAUUUUGUCAAUCGACAUCCACAAAGGAGAUAAGCAAUCCACUAUAAAUAUGAUAGUACAAAAUAUAUAGAGAGAACACCUCAACCAAUUUACUCGGAAUACAAGGAGGUUCACAAAAUUCUCUCUCAAAACCAAAACUCUCAAAACCCUAAAAUUAUAUUGUGAAUGUUGAUUAAGUUAGAAUGAACAAGUCUCUAUUUAUAAAGUGCUAAACCUUUUCCUACAAAUUGGAUAGUAAAGCUAUUAAGAUAUACGAAAAUGACAUGUUAACCUUUCAAAUUGAGAAAAUGCCUACCAUUUACUAUAGUACUCGAUCGUUAUUUUAAUUUUCGAUCAACCCCGACCCGGCCCCUACCCCUUUACAUCAACACAAGUUCUGACUUUUGAGUGCAAAUUCGAUGGGACGGGAGGCCUUUCAAGACGCUAACAUCAAUAAUAACAAUAUAUCAAUGUAUUUCACAAGUUAGACUUUAUUUCUGAAUAACGUGACAUAAUCAUAUUACCCCAAUUAGAUGAUAAAUAACAUGUUAUAUUAUAAUUUUAGCAUAAAUAACUUAAAUUUAUACGGCAUUACGUCCUCUUUAAUAACUUUAUUUGACACACCAAAAACGAUUGUAAUUAAUUUCAACGUCAUUUACUCUUACUUUAUGUGUCCUAUAAAAAAAUUCAUUUGCGUAAUGAAGGUAGAGAUUGAUGAAGUAAGCAAACAAUUGAGACUUGUUCAAAGCUAUUGGGUACACUUGUUAACUUGCUCAAUUUGACAUAAAUUUUGAAAUUGAAAUUUGAAACUUAAAAAUUUAAUAUUUUGAAAUUUGAAAUUAUGUUAGACAUGUAUUUUGUGAGUGUGAGAAAAAAAUUUCUCUUGAAAACUAAUCGCACUUAAAAAUACUUGAAAUUAGAACUUAUGAUCAAACAAAUACAGUAUUUGAAAAUAAAAUAUUAAAUCUGUUUCUGAACUUGAAAUACGGAAUAAGUAAAGUAUGUAGUGCUCAUAUAUAUGUUCUUGGAUAUGCUAUAAAAAGUACAGAUAAUAAUAUACUAACUUAUAAAUAGUUUUAUUUUUAUAUACAUAUACAUAAACACACAUGACUAGUUCAUGAAAAUUCAAAUGUCUAAAAAAAUAUUAAAAAAACUCGCACCAAUUUUUCUUAUUUCAUCAUUUCAAAGUUGCUAAGAAUUAAACCGUCUCCAACAGCAUCUUGCUCAAAAAGAUACCCAUCAAAGUCGCCAUCUGAUGCCCACCACGGUGGGUACAGCCACCCGUCAACUGAGUCAGUCAUCGUCAAUUCGGUCUUCGACUCAAAACUUCCGUCCAAGCUAGGAAGCUCUAUAAUUUCACCCAGAUCGUCCGACGCUGAUGUGAUUUUGUCAAUUGAACUAACGGAGGAGGAAGAAGAUACUAAAUUUGGAUCCUCCAUUGCAGCUGCUUCAGCUGCAGCAGCUUGAACAUCUCUCGGUGAGAGUGAAAUUGGGCGAGGCAAUGAGUCAAUUAGAUGAGGGAAAUUUAAAAUUGAUGGGUCCUUUUUUAUGCUCAAUGCAGCGACGUCGUGUGCUCUAGCGGCCAUUUCUGCAGUUGGAUAAGUCCCGAGCCAAAUGCGUGACUUUUUACGCGGUUCCCGGAUUUCAGACACCCAUUUUCCCCAACUUCGCAUACGAACUCCUCUAUAAAUUGGAUGUUUAUUCCCUUUUUCAACACUCUCUCUUAUUCGCUUCGACAUUCAAUUAGUAUGAGUUGCUUAGAUAGUAAACACCUUAAUUUUCACCUCUAAUCUUACAAUUAUAGAUACGAAUUAUCAAAAGAUGGAAGAGAAAAAAAAGAUCAAAGGAGAGCGAGAAAUGUUUGCAAAAAGGAGCAACUUAUGAUGUCUAUGAUCAAUUGGAUUCUGACAUACUGUACUCGUAUCGAAGGGAUACUUUACGAAAACAGGGGAGAAAAAAAUCAAAUGUGUCGAUUUCUACUUUAGAGAAGAAUGGGAAUGAAAUAUGAAAAAAAGGACAAAAAUUGAAGUAUUUUUGGAGGGAUGAGAGACAGGGAAUUGGAGUGUGAUUUUCUUAGAGAGAAAUGGACUUCAUUAUCAUACAUUCUGAACGAGCUUAAUAUAUAUAUUUAUAUAUGUCAAGUGUAGAGAAUUAUAUAGACAAACAAUACGUAAAAUAUUAGGUUUAGCUUAUUAAAUUUGUUGUACGGUUUACUUUAAACGUUAAAAUAACACUUUAUUUCUAUUAAAAAUACUGAUGACGAUUUGACGAUUAACCAACCAACUACCAAUGCAUCCUUAAUAACAAAAAUGAUUUAGCAUUUAUAUAUAUUAGUAUUAAAAUAUACACACAUUGAUGGUGUAAACUGUAAAGUACUUUUAAAUUUAUUAGUGUAUUUUAAUAGGUAACAUAUCAUGUUUUUUUGUCUGGUUAAUCUCACGUUUUAUGAAUAAUUGAUUAUCAUAACUACAUUUAGUUUAACCUAAUAAUAUACUCCAUAUAUUUCAUUUUAAAUACCAAAAUUUAACUGGACAAAGAGUUUAAGAGAAAUAAAUAAAAAAGUUGGUACAUGGCAAAAGUGCCUCCAAAUUUUGUAAUUUCAAACAUGAUAUAUGAUUUUUUGUGCCUAUAAAAAUCGUCAUUAAAAAUAAAAUAUGAAAAUAGCGUUGGUUGUUUUUUUUCAUUUAAAAAUAAUGAAAUUGAUGGAAUAUUUUUUAUUUUUUUCAUACUGCAUUAUUUCUUCCAUUAGUGAAGAUUAACAUUCCAAAGUCCAAACUACCCAAAGCACUAUUUUAGAAAACUAACCAACAAGAAGGUUUAGUCACUAUCAUGCUAAAAGGGUCCCAAAAGGCUCAAUAAAAGUCUAUGUUCUUUAAAUGUAGUUUUUUAUAGCUUGAAAUCAUCCACGUACUCUUCUUUCAUUUGUACAUCUUCGUUUGGUGUGAGCGAUAAGCAUAAAUAAUUUUGGGAUAAAAAAAUAGUCAUGAGAUAAAAGUUAGAUGUCUUAUUUGGUUGACAUGUUUGGGAUAAUUUAUCCCACCAUUUAUAGCAUAGUGAUGUAAUAAGUUAUCCUAGAAUAACUAACUCAUGAUAGUUAAUCCUGGGAUAACUAGUUCCCAACCAAACGACCCCUUAUAUCUUUGUCCCUUACACGUGCUCAACUUUAAAAUCAAAACAUGACCCAUCUUCUUAUUUUGGUGAAAGGCUACCUCCUACUUCUAAUCUAAACUAAAAAUAAAUAAGCCUCAUAUAUUUAUUCAACAACAAUAAUAAAAUAUUAAAUAUAAUUUCACGAGUCGAAUUUGAGAGGAUAGAAUAAAGGCAUGCAUAAAUUUUUCUUAUUUUGUGAGGAUGAAAAGAUUAUUUUCUUUAAUAACAUUUAAAAGACAUUAAGUCCAGGGAAAAGAGUUAAACCAUAGGGGGGAAUCAAUUGUAUGCAUUAUUAUCCUGUAUUUUAUAAAAGGUUAUUUUCACCGUUCGAAUCUAUAACCUCUCAAUGACAUAAGAAUAAGUAGAUCAGUUAUAUCAAAGUUGCUAAUAUUUUCGCACUUUUCCGUAUAAAUUAUUACAAAAUAUAUCUUUGAUUUGUUUAAAAAUUAAAUAGCACGUCACAGUUAGUGACGGAUGAAUGUUUAGUUGACUUCUGAUUAAAGAAAUUAAUAAGUAGCCGUUUGGCAAAAUUGCGUGUGCAUAAAUUGUACUGAUUCUUUCAAAAGAAAAAUGGAAGAUGAGCUUCGAGUUUUAAAAGUGAUUUUGACCGGUUUUUUCAAAAUGAGUUUUUAUUUUUUCAAAUAAAAUAUAUAUUCAAACACAACUUGAAUGUUCAAAUAAUCUUUUUAAACUUAACUUCAAAUGCUACAGCGUUUUUUUCGUUUAAACCCUACAAAAAGGAGCUAGAGUAAGUGCAGUAGUACUGUUCAAAAAUACUACUGUAAUUAUUUUGGAGCAAGUUCAUCAUUAUCCCAAGGUAGCAAAAAAGCAAAAAUGGAAGUCAUUCUGCAACAAUUCUCUCUUUUUUCCUAUUCUACUUGUGGCAUUCUUGUGAUAGUCAGUCAGCACAAAAACUUGUUUAUUUUUUUAGUAGCAAUAUACUUCGAUAAAAGUGAACACUUGUCUUAAGCCAAACUGCCGUACACCAACCAAUUACAGGCAUUUUACUUAUAUGCCCCCCUUAAGUCACUAUCAUUUUGUUAACAAUUAAUGAGGUAAGGGGCCGGCAAAGUAAAAAGAAAGAGCAUGAGUUACUACCUUCGUCCACUUUUAAUUGACAUAAUUUUUUUUUAGAGUUAAACUAUAAAAAUUUUAACUAACAUUUUAUGAUGUAUUUUUUCAUCAUAUUGAUACACAAAAAAUUAUAAUUUAUAGUACUUUUCAUAUAGAUUUUGAAUAUCUAAAUUUUUUGUUAAAAAUAUAGAAUUAAUUUAAUUUAAUUUAAUUUUGAAAAUUAGUCAAAUUGGCUUUCAAAAAUCGUAACAUGACAAAUAAAAAUAGACGGGAGAGUAGUCUUGAAAUAAACUGUAUGAAAUUGCAAAUUAUUAAUCUAAAUUAAAUACUAUAGCCAUAGUUUAUUUUAUUUGUAAUUCGCAGCAAACAUCACAUUUUUUUGUCAUCUGGUUCGAUAUACAAUUAGUCAUUUUCGGUAUACAAAUGUAUAAAAAUGUCUUUGUGUUUGUAUAAAGCGAGAGAAAAAGUGUAUAUACAAAUACAAAUACAUAUAUUUUUCGUCUUAUACACUUGUAAUUAUACAAAUACAGAUCUUAUUAUACAAAUUACAAUGUAUAAAUAAAAUUUUAUACAAAACUGAACAAUUUGUAUAAAAUUGGAUGUAUCUAGCGAAUUAUACAAAUCAAAAACUCCAUAGCAAACAUAAAAUUUAUUAUGAAGCGCAAUUAUGCAAACUAUAGUUAUAACAUACAAAUAUGAUUUUUAUGCUUGCUACAUGUGAACGUUGCUCAUAAAAGAAGGGAAAAUUGUAUAUAAUAGCAAAACUAUUAAUUCAAAUUAAAUACUAUAAAUAUAGUUUGAUUUAAUUGUACCUCAUAGCAAAUUGUUGCUAUUUUACCUCUCUCCUGGUGAAUCUCGCUCGCCACUCUCGUUCUCUCCCUCGCCUCUCUCAUUUUUUUAUACAAACGCAAGUGUAUAAAAGUGUGUUUGUAGUUUGUAUAAAGCGAGAGAAAAUUGUAUAUAUACAUAUAUUUUUGUUCCCCUCUCCCAGAUCUCGCUCGCCACUCUCCCAAAUCUCGCUCUCUCACUCGUCUCUCUCACUUUGUACAAAAAACGCAAAUUGUAUAAAAUGCGUUUUGUUUGUAUAAAGCGAGAGAAAAUUGUAUAUAUACAUAUAUUUUUGUUCCCCUCUCCCAGAUCUCGCUCACCACUCUCCCAGAUCUCGCUCUCUCACUCGCCUCUCUCACUUUAUACAAAAAACGCAAAUUGUAUAAAAUGUGUUUGUGUUUGUAUAAAGCGAGAAAAGAGAGAAAGACAAAAGAAAACUAUAUUUUCGUUCCCCUCUCUCCCCUCUCCCAGAUCUCGCUCGCCACUCUCCCAGAUCUCGCUCGCUCACUCGCCUCUCUCACUUUAUACAAUUGAUCUUUUUGUAUAUGUAUACCAAAGCAAAUUAUACAACUGUUUUUUUGUAUAUGUAUAGCGAAUUAUACAUAUAUAUGUUUGCUAUGGAGCGCAAUUAUGCAAAUUUUGUUAUAGCAUACAAAUAUGAAUUUUGUGUUUGCUAUAUGUGAAAGUUGUUCAUAAAAGAAUGAGGUAGCAAAGAAUUCAUGUGUAUUUGGGCUACUAGAAAAGGCCUUUAGAUUUGAUGCUGGACCCAAGUAGACUCUUGAAGAUUUAUAGAGAGCUUUUAACUUAAAAGGCCCAAAGAGAAUAGUUCGAAAUCCUCUAGGAAUCACUAUGGGAUCUUAGCAUAAAUAGCCCACCGAAUUCACUGCUUACUUUCUUAGUUAGUAUACAUAUUUUAUGCAUUGAUGGGGAAUUUUUGCAAAUAGUCACUAUAAUAAACUUAAUUAUGCUUCAUAGCUAUAAACUGUUUACAUAUUUAUUGGUUAUAGCUACAGUUUAACUUUAAACAAUUAUACAAAUUAUAUUAUACAAAAUUACAUUAUAUAAAAGUUAUACAAAUUAUAUUAUACAAACGUGUGAAUUAUACAAACUCGAAACCCCAGCCCAUGUAAUUUUCAUUGAAUGUUAAUCGCGAGUAGUAAUUAACUAAAACUAUAACUAUGAUGACUAAUUAACUAGUAUGUGUUUGCUUAACCAUGUAAUUUUUCCUACAUGGAUACCCCACCCACCACCCACCCCAUCCCGCACCUUCACACACACACACACACACACAUAUUUUUCAUUCUUCGGAGCCAAUUCUUUUUCCGUCCCCCCGCCCCGGUAUAGCGCUUCACUUUCGAUUAUUUGGAAUAAUCAACUUACGUCUCACUUCUUCAUUGAUUUGUGGGAAAGGGAACCGUCUACCAGUUGGUCUGAACUAGCUAGAAGUUAUCGCUUCAAGUCGAAGCACUAAAAGAAAAGGAUCGGAAAACGCGGCGACAUAGGAACCGCGGGACCCCCUAUUAGUAAAGGGAAAAUGAAAGUGCGCUUCUGCGCACCAACGGGAAGUCCCUUUCCUUUUUUAAUAAUAAUAAAUAAGGUAAGCUUUAUAGCUCCAACCUAAUCAAGGGGCUUUAAUGCCGUUGGUAUAGAUUGGGUUAUAUAUAUAAUAAUAAUAAUAAUAACACAUAAAUAUUUCUAACAUAGUAUCAAACACUAAAAACAAACAAGAAAAUCAAUACUUAUUUUCCAAAAAAAUAUUUUCCUUCGUCUCGAAUCACCCCUUUAUCUUUGAUUUGUCAAUUGUCACAAGCCUGAUCCAAUAAUUGUGUUACUUCAAUAAUAUUAAUGAUCAUGAUUCACGAUAUGUUUCUUCUUCUUCUUCUAUAUUACUUGUCGUGUGCACCAUUAACACUAGGAAACUUAAAUCAUGGGGAGUUUUGACAUUGUGACUUGUGAGUCUUCUUGUUCAUUUAAAUUUUGAGCGUGAAAGUAUUUGAACUUUUUCACUCGGUUAUCUUACGAAUUGGUUUUGUGAAAUGUUAAUCUUAUAUAUUGUGCAACUAAUUUUCACUAGACAUCUAGAUUUUCCAAGUAAAAUUUGGGGAAAAAUUUAACAAAUAGUGUUUGUUCAUAUAAUUUGUCAUUAUUUGGUAAAUAUUUUUGUCAAAUAACCCAAAUUCUCAAAUACUAGAAAAAACUAGUAUUUAGGCCAAAUCUCAUUAUUCAGGAUCUUUGAAAAAAUCAAAUUCUACACCAAACUUUUACCUUUUACAAAAACAUCAUCUAUACUAGUUGUUUGCGUUGUAUUACAUAAUUUUUUACGUGAACACCAAAGUAGUGAUGAAAUAGUCAGUGAAUAUGAAAGUGAUGAUAUGGUUGUUGAUGAAAAUGAUGAACAAUCGGCUCAGGGUAACAAAGUCAUGUGCUUUGUCUACUUCACGAUGUAUGAAAUGAUGCUUAUUGCACUUACCCCAAACUACCACAUUGCUCCAGUGUUAUGGACGCUACUUGUUAUUUGUUGCAACGAAGAUCCAAUCGACUUGUAAUACAAACUUAUGGUUAGUUUUGAUAGUUUUUAAAACUUAUGGGUAUAAAUCAUAUUUUCUCUAAAAAAAGUGAAAUAUGUUUCUCAAAUACUAUGACCAAACAUAUGGUGAAAUUUCACCCAAAUUUCACCCAAAUAAUAUUUGAAAAUCUAUUGUCAAACGCUAGCUAAAAGUCACCUAAUUAAGUUGAGAUGCAACAAUAUUAAUUUCCUUAGAUCAUAAUAACUAGUAUGAAAAAUAUCCAAAUAUAACUCUUUUCUAGCAACAAAAUGAUUCCAUCUAAAAUAUGUUACAUAAAACCAUAUUGAAAGCCUUCUUCAUAUCAACUAUCACAUCACAAAUAAUUAUAAAUAGAUGAAUUAUAUAAUAAAGAAUCAUCAAAACUUUAUCAAAAUUAGGUAUGCUAUUUCAUAUAAUUGCUUCUCCUCAUCUACAUUUUCUCUUCAUUUAUAAUGAAGAAAACACUUUUCUCUCUUUCUUUUCUUCGAAAAAGGUGCGUGCACCUUUCUUUAAAAUUAUUACAUUCGUAACAUAAAUAAUAUCAUAAUCUUUCAAUUAUUAAUAAGCAAAAACAAACUCAAGUUUUAACAUCUUAAAAUAAAAUUUACACAUGUAAGAAUUACAUGAAAUUUACUAUAAUCACAAAUUUAUUUAAAAUCAUACUCUUUGUGAUGUGAUGCACCUUCUUUUUUUUUAAACUUUUAAUAUGAUAUUUAUAACCACACGCAUCUUUAAUUUCUCUUAGGUCAUAAAUUUUAACUUUUUAAAAAUAAUAUUUUUGCCUUAUUAAAGCAUAUUACAUAAAUUAGGACAAUAAUAUAGCAAUAAUUAGAAGUUGUCCCACCAACAAAGGUUAUGGUACUAUUCCUUUCUCGAGUCUCCCACGUUUUUACACUCUAAUUAUAUGAGACUUUUUUGAUAUAAAUUUAAAUUUGCUCUUUGAUUCAAAUAAUUUACCCCUUAAUAUAAAAAUUUAUGACAUACCUUUAAAUUUAACCAGCCUCAAUAUUUAUUGGACACGACACCAAUAAAAUUUGUGCCACUUCUUUAUCAGUGAUACCGUCGAUUUUCCUCGUAACAAACUAAAUUGAACAUCGGGGUUAGUGGGUAGCUGGUUGGAGCUAAAUCCCAAGUUGGAUUUAGGUAUUCAACUGCCAAAUAUCAAAUUCCAGAUUUAUUUCUCUCUCUACCUCGAUGGCUUCGCUUUUAAAUACACCCUUUUCACCACUAUCCACUUUCUUCUUUCCUUUUUCGUCGCCUUUUCAAUGGCUUCCCUUUUCGCUCUCCGAAUUUCCAGUUUACACAAUCAGUAAGUUCUCUCCCCAAAUUUUCUCUUUUAUGUUUACUAGUAUGCAUCAUCGUUUUAUCGAAUUGUUGAAUACUGAAAUCUGUCAGUUAAAUGGAAGAGUCAACGCGAACGAUUUGCACCUUUGUAUUUCUUAAUCGAGUAAUGUGCUUAGUAUAAAUAUUUGUUGUUAUCAGUUCAAUCCCUGAAGCUUUUGCCUUUUAGUACAUCAGAUUCAUUUCUGAGAUGGAAAUGUUUGUGGGGGAGCCAGUCUGUGUUUCGGGAAUUAAUAAGCAUUGGUUAAUGGUGGAGUAUAUUUGUGGAUUUCUUCUUGUUCCGUGAGUUAAAGGAAUGGGAAUUUUAAGUUGAGAUACCGAAAUCAAUAAAUUGGGAAAUCCUCCCCCUCUUGAGCUAGUUUUUGGAGUUAGUCAGACCCCGGAUUCAUUUCUUUACACUAUCUUGUCUAAUAAUAAUUUUGGGAAUCGAUGAUAUAACUAAAAUGGAAAUGUAAAAGGAAACUUGAUUUAUAAAGCAUCAAUAUUUCUUUUUCCUUUUUGUUUUGUUAAUUGUGUAAAUCAAUUUAUUCAGAGUAUGGUACAAUAGAUGAAAUUAUGAAAAUGUAUUGGUACAAUUAAAAGAGAUUGGCUGAAAUGGAGGAGUGACUUAAGAGGUUUCUAAUAAAGUGAAUGUCAAGUUCUAUCAAAUGAUUGUGAACCAUUAAUAUUAUGUGGGAAGGAAUGUUGGGCUUCUAAGAUCGAUAUAUUUGCAAGAUAAGGAUGUUAAGAUGGAUGUGUGAUCAUACUAGAUUGGACAAAUUAGAAAUGAUCACCUUUGAUAAAUGGAGAAGUACAUGUAGAAAAUAGACUGAGGAAGAUCGCUCAAGAACAUAACACGGUGAAAACAAAUGGUCAAUAUAGUAUCAACUAGUUGGUAUCAAAGUUAAGUUGUUUUACACUUCAAUCUAGUUUGGCAAGGUAUUCUUGUUUGUGUUAGAGACUUGUAUCAGUGUAGAGACAAGUGUGAGAUUUUGAGAAAAUCUACUUUUAGAGAACUCUUUAUUUACCUUGAAAGAUAAUUUAUUUACUAAUAUUCACAUGAAAUAUGUCCAAAUUAGAAUGGCGUGGAUAUAGAGAACUCAUAUGUCAACCACAACUGUCAACUAGCUUGGUGUGGAGUAUUAUUGAUUGAUUUUAAAUAAUAAGUGCAAUGUGAAUAAGUCUUCAAGUGUAUACAAUUCAAGAAAGGAAGGAAAAGGUUUUACUAUCAUACAAAUGACAAAUGCUAGAUUUGAUGCUUCUUAGAUGGUUGUCCUUCAUCCAGUGAUAAGUUCCACUUAACCAGUUCAGUUUAGUUGUCUAAAAUUGUGUGUGAGGGGAGUGCAAAUCAUCCCACUAACAAAUUAACUGCCAACCUUAGAUGAGUUUAGUCAGGAGACUAUAAACACCAUCUGCAGAAAAGGUCCAAGCAAGUCUACUAGGUUUGGGGAUCUUAAAUUGAAAUCACCAUCAGAAUCUCUAAAUAAUAGAUAUUUGUCAGUAUACAAAGGUAGAUUACAACGUCCUUGAGACGUUUGAAUUCUUCAUAUUUCAGCCAUUAAAUAGAAUUCCCUGAUGGAUCUUCUGUGCUGCAGAGAAAUUGUCAGAUCAUGGAACUUAGCAAAAUCUGGUACUAAGAAACUGUGUUCAUCUAACAUAAAUGUGAAUGAGCAGAGUUUUGGCUGUGUAAAAUAUGUCGUUCUGCAAGGACAUCUUUCUGGAUCAUUGUCCCAAAAGAUUCCAGUGAAAUGCAUUCCUUCAGAAGCACUAGGAUCAGUGGCAGCUACAGGAAACCCUGACCAAAACAUUAUUAUGGUGGACUCUUCUAUAGUCAGUAGUCACAGGGAUGAGAUGGAAUUCAGCCGAGUCAAUUGUCUUGUGUGGGUACUGCAUGAGUCUGCAAGAAGCUUUGCAGUUGCAGUACAGACCCUUGAAUUGGCUAAAAAUAGGCCUGAGCUUGCAAUGGCAUGGGUUGGGGUGGAUGUGCAUGCCUGGCAUAAAAGCAUCGCAUAUCAGGUAUGGAAGUACAACCUGCAUUUCUGCUAGUAGAGAUUUCUGACACUGCAUUUUGUGGUUCAGUUUUAAACUGUGAAGGUUAAUAUCAAUCGUGCUUCCAUAUUAAACACCUAGCUCAUAACUAUAGUAAUUGUCAAGUUCGCGAAUUUGUAACCUAUGCAACAAAUAAAAACAUGUGCUGCUUCACAGGUAGCAAUUUAUGCUUUGUUCAAAGCAGCAAUAGAAGUGGAAGUGUUUCUUUCUCGCAAACGCAGCAACAAUGUUUCUUCUGUUCAUGAAAUGUAAGUUUGACUAUCUUGAACUUUUCCACAAAUGGACAUUCGUGUAUUGUCAUGUAGUUUUAAGUGUUAAGCUUAUCAAUUUCUGGCUCACUCAGUUUUUACUUCUCCUCCAAUAAUAUUCGUUGUGGAACCCACAUCAUGAACUCCUAUGUGUUUGUGUGUCUUCUAUAUAUGGAGAAGGAAACUACAUGUCAUGAUUUGACAAUUUUUUCCUUUAUCUUAUUUUCAUGUUCUCCUUGUUUUACAUCAGUUUAUCCCCAAUCACCAACUUUCUUGGAGAGCGCAUUGAAAGUCAGUUGAAUUUGAGGCAUCCAAAGCUGGUGCAAUGGUUUAGAACACUGGAGCUGCCACGGAUUGCAGGAAUGUUCAUUCCCCUAUUCAAGAAAUGGUCUGUGGACUAUGCAGGAAGGUAUGUCCUUAAAGAUCACUGCUUUGUUAUCAGGUUAUAUUAGCUGUUUUCAUGAUGCAACUGAAUGCUCUUGAACAGUAAUCUUCUGAUUGAUAUUGCACAUAUUCAUCAUAUCUCAGUUGAUAAAACAUCUAAUAUAGAACUAUGCAGUGGUGUUGCAGGAAAUAUCUUGGCAAUAAGUUGUUGCACAGCAGUGCGGAAAUUAGGUUCAGGACGAGUUUCUUGUCCUUUGUUUUCAGCUUCAGUUGAAGAUGCAUUAGUAGAGCUCAUGAACUUGUCACAUAGACUUGUUUCAAUUGAUAAAUUGCACUAUUUAGCUACUGAGGCUGGAUUCGAAGAAGACUUCUUGAUCCAUUUUGGUAGUAAGGUUCUACCAAGUAACAAUAUUGAAGAUGUAGAAUUUUGGAUAGGAUUGGUUCAACGAAAACUCAGUAAUGCAUUUCACAGAGAAAAUGUGAUUGCAGACAAGCAUAAUUUUCACGACAAGGUUAGCAUUUAUUAAUUGGUUUGUAGCCGAUUAAUUCUGUGAAUGAUCUCUUUUUUACUGUUGCACAAAACCUGUGGAAUACGUCCAAACAUAUGAUAUCUCGACGUAACUCUGUCAUUGAACUGUGUUUAGGUCUUGAAUUCAGAGAGAGAAGGUUACAUCUACAUGCAAUUUUUCUCUCUCUGUAUUUUGUCAAUUCUGUCUUUUAAUGUUAAAGAAACUCCAUUAUGGGACUGAUUUUGAGUUGAUAAACACCUUUUCUUCCUAUUUCUAUAAGUUUGAUAAAAAGAUUGAUAAUUGAUUGAAUACCAUGAGGUCUCAAGUUCAAAUACCACCGGAGGCAAUAAUACAGGUGAUUCUUCUGAUAAAACCUUGUGGACAAAGUUAUCCUGUACCUAUGCUGGUGGGAGGUAGAGGGUAACCCAUGGAAUUAGUAGAGACGUGCGCAAGUUGGUCAGGACACUACAGUUAUGAAAAAAAGGAAGAUUGACAUUAACAAUAUUAGGGAGUAGUUAGUUGGCGGAAUUAAAGGUUUGCCCUGGCUAAAAAGACAAUGAAGGUUGUUCUGUAAUUUGGAUGCAUCAGUUACUUGUAAUUGUGACAAAAAAAAAGGUUAUAUAUUGAACUGAUUGUAGUUUCAAGAUCUGACAGGUUCAAGAAAAUAGUUUAGCUACCCUGGGACUUUUUGCAUAUCUGGGAAGAGAGACAAGAUUGUUCCUCUCGGAAAUGGGUUUAAAGGAUCUUGAUGAGCAAACUAGAGAUUUUCUGAGGUAUUUAAAAGAGAGCCUACUUUCUUUGCUCUAGUCAGUAUGGCCUGUACAUUUGAUUGAUAUUGGACAAUUUUGCGCUUUCUCCUUGCAGUUACUUAGAAUGUGGUAGCCUUCUUAUGCAUCCAGAAUUCUCCACUCUCUCUGAGUAUCAGCUCUUCAUGGAGGUAAGUGUUUAAAAUAACUUGGAAAAUAUGAAAGAAAUAAACGAUUGCUGCUGAAAACAACUCUCGCAGGUAGUAGCCAAUGAAAUUGGAUGGCUCGACUUUUAUGCUGAAUCUGCUAGCAAGUUUUGUGUCAAAAGAAGAUCCAAACAACAUCCAAUUCAAGCGGAAAAAGAAAUAAUUUUGUACACUGUUUUAACUGUAUGCUAUGAUGUUAUAGCUGGAUUCGCCCACUAUAACAAUUCUGCACAGCAGCCAUUAGAUGCAAAGUUACUGGACUUCUUGCUUCAGAGGUAUCAAAUCAUUCUGAGUAUGUAUUGGAAGUCUCAACAUAAAUGUAGCUCACUCUUAAGCUGAUUUCUGUCAAUCUCUUUAGUCAGAGUCUGCUGUCUGUAUGUCUGGAGGACUACUGGGCAGCUUAUGAUAGAACAGGGUAUGUUGGAUUUAAUGACAAAGUUUAAUCUUCUGUUGCUGCACAUUCCAAUGAUGAGUUGCCUAUCCUCUUAAACAGAGAAGUGCAAAAAUUUGCUGAUAGAAGUGCAUCUGAUCCGGCAGCAUCUUUGUUUAGUAAAGGUGGAAUGGGUUCAUCCAUCAUAUUGGACGUGAAAGAGAAGCCAAUACAUCAAUAUAGAUCUAGAUCGAAUCAGGUACAAGCACCAGAUUUAAUAAAUAGGGACUGCUAUACUGAGUUUAUUUUCUAGUGAAUCACUCUUGGUUCAAAAUUUCUCCAUUACUAAAUAGACUGUCCGUCAAGAAAAUGCAUCUCUAGCCAUCAAAUAUUUGUUCACAACCUCUUAACUCGGCAAUCAGUUUCUGAAGCCCUUUAUAGACUGAUAAUUUCUUUUAUCAAAUGACAGACCACCAGCUCUGCUGUGAUGGACCCUGUGACACUGGUGGAAUCGGAAUGCUCUACUGCACCCAAACCAAUGCAUGAAAAUUUACUAAGAAAAUCUAUGACCAAGCUGAUAUCUGCAAGUGUUGUAAGUUAUUAUCCAGUUAUUCAAUCAUAUCAAAAGAGUAUGCUCUAUAGUAGUUAAUUUUUUAUUGCAUUAUGCUAUAGGAUUUCUGGAUGGGUACUGAAUUGCUCUUUACAGACGUAUCGGAUGCUUUAGAGCUACUUAUAAAGCAGUUGAAAGGCCGUCAACUCACCAAAAGGGAGAGAAAGAAAAUGAAGAGAACGCUGGGUGAUAUAGCUACCCUUGUUCCCAUAACCAUCUUAAUGCUAAUCCCUGUAAGGAUCAACUAUAUCAAACAACAGAUUUUUGUUCCUUCUGCUCAAAGCUUAUAGUCUCUGCUGAAUGAACUUGUCUUCUGGUCAACUUCAUGCUCUCUAUGCUAGAAAUGUUUUAGCGCCUAUAAAACUUAUAUGCCGAGGUUGAAAGGACUACAAAGUAAGCAUGCUAAAGUCUUUUUUUAAAGGAAAUGAUCCGGAAAAUGUGCCAUGUCUAUCCUGGUUCUCAAGAUUACCAAAAAAGAAUUAAAAAAUUAAAGCUCAUUUCCACGAAAAUGUAUUAAUGGUAGCGGAUUGAUUCUCAUAGUUGUUGUACAAUAUACUUCUAACAUGAACAACCUUCAUCUAGUUUCACAAUGUCAAUGUGAAAAAUAUUUUUUUCCUAUUGUUCUCACAAAUAAAAGAGCUUCUCAAAGAUUCACUGUGUUAAAUUUAUCAGGUUUCCGCAGUGGGUCAUGCAGCAAUGCUAGCGGCAAUCAAGAAAUAUGUCCCAAGUUUGGUAAUUAACUGUAAUCUAUCAUUCUAUACAUUAUUCCUUUCUUUCAUUUGCUUAUAAGUUAAUCUUUAUGGCCCAGAUUCCUUCUCCGUUUUCUUCUGAAAGGCUUGAUCUAAUGAAACAAUUAAAGAGAACGAAGAAGAAAGAAGUCCAAGCUCGAAGCAGCAUAGACAACCCUUCUUCUAAAGUUGUAGAGUGAAUGCAAGCUGCGGGAAACAACCUCAUUAUCAUGGUGUUGGUGCAGCUUAACUUCUGUAGAGUGGCAAGAGGCGUUGCACAUAUACCUUAUUACAGCCAAUGCAAGAAACUAUCAGUAAGAGGAAACAGAAACAACACUUUUUCACAAGCACAAGUACACAAAUCCUGCUAAAUUUAGUUCUAGAGAAAGCAACUUUGUUUUUGAUCAACUGUAUUUUCUCUAGGCAUCAUCUGACAAUUGUUCAUAUAUAUCCAUGGUUUAGAAUGAAGCUUUCGAGUUUCUAAAUUUCUAAUCGUUGCAAUCAUCUGACAAUUGUUCAUAUUUGUACAGUGUAUGCUUAUGAGCUCUUAGUAGCAUUUUCUUUUUACUGAGGAAUAGGUGAAUGUUUUUAAAAUAUAAGCAGACGUGGGACACAAAAAGAAAAUAUUUUAGGUACUCUUGAGUCGAGUUUUUUUCCCUAGAUAGAUGGCAUAACUGUAAACAGAGGCGGAUCUAAGAGGGGUGAGCGUGUUCAUCUUAAUCUUUUUUCAGUAAAAAAUUACACUAUUGUAUAUUUAACGUAAUUUUUUUAUUGUUUAUGUAUGUAUAUAUAGAUCUUGAAUCCUUUGAACACAAGACUGGAAGUUAGAUUAGUGAUUAAGGAUGUUCAAAAUCACUUGAAGUUCCACGUUCGAUUUCCAGGCACUACAAUUUUAUUUUUGAACCUGUAAAAACAAAGAGAGAUGGAACCAAAAAGAUUUUUUAUCUUUAUUUUCCAUUUAUUGGGUGUGGUGGGAGAUGAGAGAAUUUUAUUAAGUCUAUUUUAUAAAAUACAACCAAUAUGAUCAAUGAAUGGAUAAAAUCUCAUCAAAUUCGUACACCAUUUCGAACAUUUCAUCGAAGUUGUAUCCAAAUAUGCACAACAAAAGCAAGAAGUUAAGCAAGACAACAUGACCAAAUAUUAAACAACCAAAAAAGAAAAAAAACAGCAAAAUGUCGCUUUUCUUAUUCCUUUUUAUUACAAAAGGCGAAUUAAUUAGGUACCAAACACAAUCAAUCAAACAUUUUUUUUUAGAAAUCGCUAGAAAGAGGAACAUGGUCGCCGUAGUUCAUGAAGACAUUGCUAUAGAUUAAACCGGCCAAGCCACCACCAAUGAGUGGUCCAACCCAAUAAAUCCAGUUACCAGCGAAGUUGCCACUAGCAACUGCGGGCCCAAAAGAACGGGCUGGGUUCAUUGAACCUCCGGAGAAUGGGCCCGCAGCCAAAAUGUUGGCACCAACAAUGAAACCAAUGGCAAUGGGUGCAAUUGUACCCAAUGAUCCCUUCUUGGGGUCAGCUGCUGUGGCGUACACAGUGUACACCAAUGCAAAUGUGAUGAUAAUUUCCAUUACAACUCCUUCAGUAGCUCCUACACCAGCUGCCACACCGUGGAUUGGAACAGCCUGCAGAGAGAAAAAAAAGAUUUAGAUAUUUUUGAGAUAAUCAAUUUACAAUUCAGUCUUUAAAUUAUUAUUACGGUUUCAGUUUCAAACAAGUUGGAAUCGGCUAUCAGAAUUCUCACUAAAUAAUUGUAAUUUGAAAACUAAUUACCAAUCCUCCAGUGACAAAUUUGAGGAGGCAGCAAGCAACAAUGGCACCCAAAAGCUGUGCGACCCAGUAAAACAGGCCGGUAAGAAGGGUGAUUUGGCCGCCAAGAGCUAAACCAAAAGUAACAGCGGGGUUAACGUGACCACCGGAGAUGUUAGCACCAAUAGAAACGGCCACGAAGAGAGCAAAUCCAUGGCAAACUGCGACCGCAACUAGUCCCGCAGGAUCAAGAGCUGCAUCUGCUGUCAAUUUAUCUGCAAAAUAUUUAGAAUAAUUCAAAAUUUCCCAAAUUACGUACUUAGAUCCAAAAAUAGCGUUACGUUGCAUGGAAUGAUCAAUGGCUACAUUAUAAAUAUUUAAUGUUUUUGUUUUCGAUAUAUGAGUAAUUUUCUCGGAGGAGGAGUUAUUAGAAAGUACUGUAGGCAAUGGCAGAUCCAACACCGGCGAAGACGAAAAGCAAGGUGGAGAUAAAUUCAGCAACAUAGGCCUUAAUAGACCCACCACUGAAUGAAUCGUCAAAACGUCCAAAAGCUAUACAAGGCAUUUUGAGACCAAAUUAAUUAAAACAGAGAGAAGAAUAUUGCACCUAUAUAUACUGCAAAUAUAACAAUAAAAUAUGUUGCAUGUCAAUUAAUGCACAUCAUGAGUUUUUGCACUAUAUUGUAUAUUUUCUGGGUGUCCACAAUUAAUUGUCAUGUUACGAUUUUUAAAAGCUAAUUUGACUAAUUUUUCAAUAUUUUAAACAAAAAAUUUAGAUAUUCAAAAUCUAUACAAAAAGUAUUAUACAUUACAAUUUUUUGCAUAUCAAUGUGAUUAAAAAAUAGUACAUCAUAAAAUAUUAGUCAAAAUUCUUAUCGUUUGACUCUAUAAAAGAAAACCACGACAGUUAAAAUUAAAGUGGACGGACAAAGUAUCACUCUCUAGUCCCAAUAUACUUAUUUUCAUUGUUCAAGGCGGAUUUAAGAUUUCUAACUUAUAAGUUUCAAAUUAUGAGUUUAUAUCUACUACUAUUAUUGAAUUUUUACUUAUAAAUUUAUGCUCAUAUUUCAAAAGUAUUCAAAAACAGAGCCAAAAUUUUAAUUUUAUAGAUUCUAAAUUAUUUAAAAAUGAAGACUCUAAGAGAUUAUAGCUGGGUUCUAAAAAUCUAAUAUUGCAUAUAUAAUCAAUAAACUUCUUGAUACAAAUAGCUUAUUUAAGUAAAAAAUUAUUGGAUUCAGUCAAACGCAUAAUCUUCGCCCUCUAAAAGUAUUAGAUUUAGAUGAACUGAGUAUUAGGUGUAUAUCCCAAUCAGGUGUUUUAUUACAAAACUUAGCUGUCACUAACAUGUCUUUUUUUGGAAAUGUCUCGAAGUUGAUCGAUCAAAAUAUUAAUGAUCAUCCAUGUGAACCAAUCGUUAUUAUUUAUUAAGACAUUUUGGGUGGUGACCCUUGUGAACAAAAUAAUGAUUAAGAAAAAGAUUUUGUGAGAUCUGCGUGACUAUAUAAUGGGGGGUUUAAUCUGGUCUACAAUGUGCAUCCACCGACCAUCAAAAUGGAGAAUGGAGUGCUUGUGAUGGAAUUUGCUGGAGUUUCUCUAGAGUUAUUUAGAAUAUGUUUGGUAGGUAAAAAAAUGCUCUUUUUUUUUAUAUAUAAAACAAUUAUUCUUUUUAUUAUUUAUAUAUUUUUGGUUUGGUAUAUCGUGAAUAAAAAAUAUUUAUAUAUAAUAUAAUUGCUAAAAUACAUGAUUUUAUAAAAAAAUUAUAAAUUCAUGGUCACCAUAAAAUGCAUAAUAAAUUUGCCCCGUAUGUAAUGAUCCCACCAUUAGUAACUCAGGAGGUGGUUCUAACUAACUAACAUGUACUUGCAACGAAGUUGUUAUAUAAAUAAAUAAAUUAAAGAUUCUUUUUAAAAAAACAAGAAGAAUUUGUUUUAUUAGAAAAAAUAUUUUGACCGGUCAGUCAAACAUUGGGAAGAUUAAAAAAUAGGAAGAGGAUCUCUCCAGUUUCUCCCAGUGCUAUUUCAUAGAGUUGAUAUGUGUCAAUUGAAUUUUUAAUGGACCAAAUUAAUUUUCUUGAUCAAAUAUUAUUAACCAUGAUUAUUAGUAAUUCUCUCUCCUCUCAUUCCUUUCUCAAUCAGCAAAGAAACACUUCUUCCCCCUCCAAAACUCUUCGAAAAACAGAGCAAUCAAACAAUUGAAAAUUAAAACUACAUCAGUAUUUUAAUGUUUUUACAUUUACAUAUGAACAACUAGGGAGAGUCUCAAAAGAGAAAGACUGAAAUGGAGUGAUUAGCCUCAAUUAAAGAUUACAAUUAUAAAUACCACAAGAAAAGAAGACCAAAAAAAUAAAUGGAGAAUUUCACCAGAAAAAAAAGUAUAUGAAAAAAUAUUUUCCUACCCAUUUUUCGUGCCCUUUCCAGAUCCUUUAGUUGACUUUUGCAGAAAUUCUCAAUUGAAAAAAUUGAUGUUACAAAGAAGAUGACAGAGUUUUGUGGAUCACUAUUGUGACCGAACCAAGCUUCAAAGAAGUAGUCUCAUGGGUUGGAUUUUUUAAAUGUUAUAACCCAAGUUCAUCCUUUGAAUUUUCUUUUCUUUUUAUCACGGUGUGAAAAUAAUGAAAAGAAAAAGCAAUUUGUUGUUAACAAAGCAAAUUCUUUGCUGAUUGAGAAAAUGUUUGUUACAUAAUUAAGUGAGAAAGAAAGAGAUGAGAAAGGAGAGAGAAAGAGAAAUAGUAAUAACCAUGGUUACGGAUAUUUGACCAUGAUUUAAAGGCUGUUUUAUUUAAAUAAAUAUGAACCAUUAGAUUUUAAAAUUGACAGAUGUCAUUAAAUUAAAUAUGCAUUGGACCAACUGGAGAGAUUAGUGUACUGGAGAGGAGCCUCUUCCAAAAUAUUUGCCUUUAUAUAUUCCAAACAUACACUACAAUAAAAAUAAUUUUAAGCGAUAAUAAAUAUGCUCACUAACAAAGAGUGUUAAAGUGUUUACAAAUAUUAAUUAAUUGUCAUUAGAUCCAAUAUCGCUAUAUAGGCUUUAGGAACAUUUAUAAAGAGUGUUAAAAUUUAAUAUAUUUAGUGACAUUAAGUUAUAAUCGCUAAUCAAUUGUUGGUAAAGAUCUUGGUGCAGUGACACCCUUAGAAACACUUCCAAACAGGCUGUUAAAGAUCUGUAUAUUCUCUGCUAGCUGCAUUAUUUCCUUACUUUUCCCUUCAGUAAAUCAUCUUACGUUAUUUUUGGAUCAAUAAGUUUAUUUAAAACAUAAAGCUCGAAGGUUUGCAUGCUGCUCGUUGUCAUUAAAUUUGUAUCGAAGAGUUUACUCUUCAAUGAUAAUAUCUAAAUACCAAUGGCUAUGAUGAUAUCGUAAUUUGAUUUUGUUUAGAGAUUUAAGCAAUGCCUAAGCUGUUAAUCAAGAUUUUGGACUAGUAUUGUUGGGAUUUUCUCCCUCCAAAAAUAGGCGUAUGCCACUAUUUGCAACGCGCACACGGUAUUCUUUAGUAAAAGGCGAAAGAAUAGUUCGCUAUGUGUUCAUUGCGUGGCUGCGUAAGUUGUACUGAGGCGCUAGAGCCGCUUAUAUACUACCUCGAGACGCUCGCUUCUUCUCUAACUUCCUGAUGUGGGAUGUUCUGCAGUGACUAAACACUAUGGGCUCUGCUAGUAUGGGUUUUAUACUCUUUCCCAUGUGAUGAAGAUAUUGGGCUUGUAUUUUUGGGUCAUCUUAAAAACCAAAAAUGUGCAACAAAAGCUUGCUUCAAGAUGGGGCUAAGUGCACCAAUAGUCAUUUUUAUUUUUCUUCUUGUUGGAAACAAUUUCAGAUAUACAUGUGUCCGACUUCAGGCAUUUUUAUCUGAAACGUGGCCUUCACAAGGCCAUACAUGAGAUAUUUUUGGGUGAAGUUUGAUUUAGUUUAUCAAGAUCAACUUGAGACAUUUUUUUUAAAAAUUGGAGUUGUGGAUUUGACAAGAUCAGAAUUUCUCAAUUUUUUCGCUGGAAUUUUACAUGACUUGUCAAAGCUAACUUCAAACAUUUUUAAAAUUGACAUACAUGUAAGAAUUGGCUAAAAUACGUCACGUGUGUCUAAAUUAUUUUUGCCAUUUUUUGGUUCAAUUUCAACAAACUAAAACAAAGGAAGUGAUCCAUGCAAAAGUACGAUUACCGUCAGGCUAGUAAUAUGUAUUUUGUGCUUGAACAAAUGAAAUGGAUAUACAAGGGAACAACUUCAUUUGCUUGUUAAUUGAUUAACUCAACUUGUGAAAAAUUCAACUAGCAAACAAAAGCGAACAUGCUGCUUUAAUCAAAAGACAAAGUUAAACAGAUAAUAUAAUUUUAGAAAUUACCUAUCAAAGACUCCUUUGGUUUGACGUAUUCUAGCAUGCUAUUCACAUUGAGCACAAGAGCUUCUCUGUCUGUUGUUUUGAUUGGACCGUCUUUGGGAGACAUAUGAAGGCCAAAAAAUACAGAAAAAAAAAGUUACUUUCUCCGUUUCAAUUUGUUUGACCUAUUUUGAUUUGACACAAAGUUUAAGAAAAUAAAAAAAAUAUUUGAUUCUUGUGGUCUAAAUUAAAGAUAUAUCAAAUGUACCACAAUGCUCUUUAAUCAUGCAGUCUUAAACAUGUUAUAUAAAAAGUGAAAUUAAAGAAUUGCUAAAAAAAAGAAUUAUUCUUUUUAAAACGAUCUAAAAAAGAAAGUAUAUCAAACAAAUCAAAAUUUAGGAAGUAAAACAUUAUCAAUUGAUUGAUAGGUUAUAGGUAACUGAAGACUUAAGUCUGGCAGUAUAUCACCAACAUGGAUUGUGGUACAGUGAUGAGACUAUUUCCCCCUUAGCCAGAGGUCUCAGGUUCUCGAGCCUUAAAUAUAUAGAAAAUCAUGUUGGGAGCGUCACCCCCAAGAAUGGACCCAGCAGUGCACGAUCUGAAUUUAGUCGGGACUCCAAUGUGGACUACAAACACUGGGUCCUAGUGGAUCAUUUUUACAUAUUGAAUUAAUACUUAUUAAAUCCAUUAAACUUAGGGAGACAAAUCGUCGAUAUGUCCGAGUGGUUAAGGAGACAGACUCGAAAUCUGUUGGGCUUUGCCUGCGCAGGUUCGAAUCCUGCUGUCGACGUUUUUCUUCUUUUAUUAUUUUCAGCACAGUGCGUCUUCCAAUAAUCUUGAAAAGCGUGCUUCCAUGACACACCCUUUUUGGAGACGAAACUACCCUUCACAAAUAUCCCUAACUGCUUUUAUUUCUAUUUUUUUUAAUUUUAAAUAAACAAAGACUUCAACUGUUGUGUCUCAAAUUUGUCUGCGUGGUCAAGUCAGUGCUGAACUGAAAAGAUUGCUCACCGGGCUCCGGUACGCAAUCGCCGCCGGCGACCACCAAUUUGUUCAUCGCAUAUCCCACUAUAGUUAAAAUUCAUUGAAUUACCUAGUACGGCCGAGAUAUGGACAGACAAAACCUAGCUUCAUCGUCCGCUCCCCGUGGUGGUGCCACUGUCCAUCCUCCCCCACAACACGAUGCUUGGAUCAAUACCUACCGGAAUUUUCAUCCUCAGUGGCAGUCUCUUCUUCCUCCACCGCACCAGGUACUCUCUCUGCCCAUUCAUUUUAUGCCUCAAUUUUUUAUUAUGACACUUGAGAUAACUGAUUUCCAGUUAGGGCAGAGACUUUUUGAAAUAGAUAUUUAUUUUGGUAUCCGCACCUGCUCAAUUAAACUUGUGGAUCAGCUUAGAGAAAAUUUUCAUUUGUCUGUUCCAUUUUAUUAUGUAUAUUUGUUAUAUUACUACAGUAUUUCCCGCAAAACAUUGUAUUUUUUUAUUGGGGUUAAUCCAAGGAAGUAUUAUAAGUUAUUGUUUCAGUUUUGAUGACAAUAGGCUGUGGUUUGGCUGUUUAUCCAGCUAUGGAAACUUUGAUGGAGCUUAGAACAUUCAUAGAAAAAGUUCUGAUACGGACAUUUGCACUCUACUUUUUUUUUUUUUGGGGGUAGGAUACUAGAAAAAUGAAUUUGGUUCCCCUAGUCAGGCCCAGAUUAGCUUAAAUUUUCUUCAAGUUUUAUGCUACCUGGAAUGAUGUUAAUGGAAAUACAAGACGUGGAGCUUCAUUGUGAUGAUGAUUAGAAAUACGAGAAAGGAAAGAAAAGACUAGCCAUACUCUGGAAACCGUUGAUGGUUUUAGUGUGUUAUCCCAUGGGAAUUUACUUAUUUCUUCAUUGUAACACGCCAAAAGCUGUUCUCUUUCCUUUUCUGUUGUAAAGUUCUUAAAUGCCAGAUCUUUUUACUGUUGGGGCUCAGAGAAGAGUGAAUAAAGAGUUUGCGUUUUGAGGUUUUAUUUGCUGAUUUUUUUGCUCCCGACCACUGAAAUUUCAUGUUAACUUCUUUUGGCAGUCAGCCAUUCCAAUAUCAAUAUCCAGAGUUAAUCAGGUAGAUGCUGGAAGACUAGACAUUGAAAUGUCAGCCAUGCUAAAAGAGCAGUUGGUUAAGGUCUUUUCUUUAAUGAAGGUACCUAUCAUGUAACUUUUUGUUCUAUCAUCAAAUUCAUCAAGUCUUCAGUGAUUCUGUUGUCUGACAGAAGUUUUGAUAUCUGUUUCUUUUGUUUGGGAUUAGCCAGGAAUGUUAUUUCAAUAUGAACCAGAACUUGAUGCUUUCCUUGAGUUUCUAAUCUGGCGAUUUUCUAUUUGGGUUGAUAAGCCUACUCCUGGUAAUGCUCUCAUGAAUCUGAGAUACAGAGAUGAGCGUGCAAGUGAGAUUAGAGGAAAAGGUUAGAAAAACAUCUUUGCUUAAUCUUGUUGCUCCUUUUCUGUAAGUAGCUUGUACCAACCUUUUCUGUAUCUCAGUGAUGCUAGACAUUAAAUUUGUCAUAUUGUGUUGCAAGCUAUGGAUAGAUGAGAUGGUUCUAAGUUCUACUUUAGGGAUGUGAAAAAUACUAGUUUGGAUAUCCUUUGUAAGUAUUCAUGUUUGGCUUUGUGGCGUCAAGCUGCAUUUUUGCUGAAGCUAAGAUGGUUUUACUUUGUACUCGUUCUCCUUAUCCUUUCUUUAGUAAGCCAUUUUUGUGCUAAUAAUGUCACCUCCUCACAUUGACAUAUUUUUAAUUGAUCUUCCUUUGUCUGCUCCAAUACAUUGUUUUUCUGAAAGUAGUUGGCAACUAAUCUCGAAAUUACUGUUUAAUAAUCCUUUUAUCCUUUUUAUUUUUAUUUUUUAUGUUUGUAGAUAGGAUCUCUGGCUCUGAGUGAUAUGAUCCUCUUUGGUCUUAAUCUUUUUAAUUAUUAAUAGAUCAGCUGAGCUACUAGAGCCUGUAAAGUUUCAAAUGCUAUAGCAAGUCUAAAAUUGGCAUGUGUAUAACAUCAGUUUGUGAUUGAGGGACCAUUGGAAUUGACUUGUAAAAUCUCGUUGGUCUUACUUUGUGUUUGUGUUUGAAAUGAAGAGGUUGGCAGCUUGAUUUUUUAUUAUUUUUGAUAUGGUAAAUGUGCUUAAGGUUGGCAGCUUGAUGUAAUCACAUUUCUUGUUUCUUGCAUUAACUGCAUUAAUUUCAGUUGUAGUCUUAUAGUUUGGUAAGUCUAAAUUAGCAAGGGUGUAUAAUCAAUCUGUCUUGGAAAAUCUCCUUUGUCUUACUUUGUAUUUGAAGUGCGAAGGUUGACAGCUUGAUGCAGUUUCAUUUUUUCUUUCUUGCAUCAACUGCUAUAAUUUCAGUUGUAGUUCUUUUUCCUUUUCCAUGUUUUUUAUAGUGAGGACUGGAUUAGAGGGACCAGGACUUACUGUUGCUCAAAAGAUAUGGUACUGUGUUGCAACAGUUGGUGGUCAAUAUAUAUGGGCUCGUCUACAAUCAUUUUCUGCUUUUCGGAGAUGGGGCGACUCUGAGCAGGUACUGCUCUCUCUGCCUCACAUAUUCGACAUGUUUGCGUGCAUUCCUGUUUUACUGGUGACAAAUAUGUUAUCACUAAGAGAAGUCUUCGUUCUCUUAUAGAUAAUACUCUUCAGUUUUGUUGACUUCAAUUGUUAUUAGAAAUAAUUAGUUAUAAAGUCCUCCAAUAUUCUGACUUUGUGUAACAACUUCUAACCAUGCAAAGGAAUCCCUCGAUUUUCAUUUUGUUUUGGCUUAGGCAUAUGAAAUGUUAAGAAGGAAAAUUGAAAGGUUUUAUAUGAUUUGAAACUUCGAAAUGUGCAACUUCAAAUUAGGAUGAGUAAAAACAUCUAUCACUGAUAAACCUUGAUCAUUGGUAUGAGUAGAAUACUAACAAACAUCCAAAGAUGUUGCCAUGGACCAUGAGAAACUAGUAGCCAAAUUUCAGCUCAAAAUUAAUUUAGGUGAUUUCUUCAUGUAUGUCUUAACUUUGAUAGAUGUAGUUACCCGAUGCAUAUGUUGUCAGGAGGUAGUAGGUGCCGAUGGAGUAGUUAAGCUGCGUGCAAGUUGGUCCAGAUACCACUAUUAUUAUAAACAUAGUGUAGAAUAUUAACAAAAUUGUUUCAUAUAGGAUCUUUUAGUCUGAAGAUCACAAAUAACAUUUCAUGUAGUCAAGAACAACAAGAUUCUUAUGGUAACAACAUGUCCAAACAAAACUUUGUUAUGCCAUGGAAUCUCCACAGCAGGCAAUAUUCUACAUAUAGAAAAGAAGUAGGAAUUAGAAGUAUUUCAGUUUGAUUUUCCCCCCUAAUCUUCAUAUAAAUACAGAUAGUAUCAAAAAUAAAUAAUAUUCAGAUGAAUAAUAAUUUUCCUUCAGCUGUAUAAUACUUAAAGAACUUUUGAAAGCAUUUUCUUGAUAACUAGCAAAAAUAAAUGUUAAUUUGAAAUACUAGAGCAGAGCUUGUCUGUAUUUUAUAUUCCAAAUGACCAAAUGUAUUCUUGUGCCUUUUGUUUCAGCCUAUCCAAAAUUGUUUAAUUCAAGAAAAUACUUGCAACCUUACAUGAAUAUUUGUGCCAGAGAAGGGUGUCGUGUACAUUCAAUGUUAUACUGAUAUUCUAUCUAGCAGUUAGUUCUCUUUUAUCCAUAAACUAAUCUUUUUGGCCAUGUUAUUACAAUAUGAGUAGCAAUUGACCUUAUCAAAACAAAAAAGGAAAGAGGAGUUGAAUUGAUGGGGUCACAUUUAGGGGCUACAUGCUACUUUUAAGGUACCACGGUUAUUGAGAUAAACAAUAUAUUCAGGGUCUGGAUUAUCAAGAUGUGAGAUAAACAAUUCAUUGAUUAAAUAUUAGAUGGGGGAAGUAUGUAAGAUCACAAGAUAUUUUCUCAAGUAUGAAGAAAUAGAAAAAAGUUAGUUCAAAAGUAAGGUGGGCAAUCAGGUUAAAAAAUAAAGGAAAGCUGACGUAAUAGAAGAGGACAAUUGGAAUAUGAAGUUGGGAAUCCUGAGAUGGAGGAGGUAUUGAAAGUUCAAUGUCAUAGAAAAAGUACAAGUUUGUCCAAGUUUGGAAGCCAUGUACAUUUGCAUAGUACAAUUUAAAGUCUUAUGUUGAUAUCGCUGUUCAGUUGAACAGUCUUAUGAAAUAGGAUUGGGGAGUGUUAGUUAAAUGAAGAAUACUAACUUGUAUAAUACUGUUUUUUUAGUGUCAACAUAUAAUUUAUUCGUCACUUUUUAACUGUGUAUUUACUUCAGAGGUCCUUGGCACGUGGAGUGUGGUUGUUAAUGCAACGGAUGGAGGGGAUCUAUAAAGCAGCAUCUUUUAGCAAUUUACUUCUCUUUCUUUACACCGGAAGGUAUAUCUCUUACUGCAAAGACUUUACUUUUUAUUUCUUUUUCAAUGCAUGACAUGACCACCGGAUAAAAGAAGAAGAUGACAAAAAUCUAGUUCACAAAAUAGUUCUGUAAGUAAUACUGCCUGAAUCUGUGCUGUAAGAACUAACACACUGGUGCAUGGGUGUCAGAGGCACACAUAUGAGCUUGUAUUGCUUUAUGACAAAUUUUCAAUGGGAAAAGGUUAAACUAGGGAACUUUCUAAGGUUAAAUUUGUGGAGAAUGUUCUAUUAAAGAGGUCAUAUCAGGAUGAGUAGAAACUGACCAAGUUCCUAUUGUUUCAAAGGAUAUAUUACAAACUUUUUGAGUUGGGAACCAUCAUUGCGUGGAAUAACACUUUUAGUUGAGGGCAUACGGGAGAACUUGCAACAAAAACCCCAUUUUUUUUUUCUGAAAAGCAAAUGGCAUCUAAGCUUCAUUGUUCCUUUGUUUUUAUUUAACUGUAGUGAGCUAUGGCCAUAAUAUCUGUCAUCAAUUUGUACAUGCAUCUCCAUCCAAUCAGACAGUGAUUCCUCGUAUGAGGGACUGAGGUCCCCAACUUAGUGCAGGAAUCAUGCGGCAUGAUAAACUUUUUAGCACAUUAGGAUGGUUGAUACUACUGAUUCUACAAACAUAUAUGGGAGCCCUAAUGUGAACAGAACAUCAUUUGAUUGUAAUAAAUGUCCCUUGCAUAUGAUCUGGCCAAUAAAUUAACACAUUACAACUUCUUACAUUAAUGGUUUUCUACAUGUAUCAACUACAUGCAGGUUCAGGAAUCUCAUUGAAAGAGCUUUAAGAGCUAGACUUGUUUAUGGGAGCCCAAAUAUGAACAGAGCUGUGAGCUUUGAGUACAUGAAUCGUCAGUUGGUGUGGAAUGAAUUCUCGGUAAUUGCCCUUCCAUUGGCAUUAUCUCACAAUAUUUGUAUGCCCGUUCAGAAAGUAUUAAAAAAAACUCACUAAGAAAUUUCUAGAUAGUUUGAAUAACAAUAUAGAGUCUUACAUAUUUUUUAGCUGUUUUACAUGCUGCUGGAGUGUAACAGAAUCCUAUUUUCAUCUUGCAUAUGCAUGUUUUUUUUCCCUUUUUGUUGGUGGGCUGUAAAUUUUUUUGCUUUGCAGUUCAAACUUUGCAGCUUCUGUUUCUGGCUUUAUCUUGUUGACAUGUUUGGUUUCUCAGUACACAAACAAUGUGAAGGGACUUAGAUUUUAAACAAUUUUCUAAUAUGCAGGAACUGCUGCUCUUGCUUCUUCCCCUUCUCAAUUCAGCAUCUGUCAAGAGUUUCCUUCGUCCAUUCUCAAAGGACAAAUCUUCAGAUUCUUCAGUAGAUGAAUCUUUAUGCCCCAUCUGCCAGGGAACCCCAUCAAUUCCAUUUGUAGCUAUCCCUUGUCAGCAUAGGUAUAUACAUUUACAUGCUUUCAUUUAUGCGAUAGAAUGGUAAUGCAGUAUUCUCAUAUAUGCUUAUAUGCCUUUAUUAAGAACAUACUUUUUACAUUUCUUAACUAAAGAAAUCCUUAUCAUAGAAUAAUGUGGAUUCGUGGAAAUUGCUGCUAGACAAUCCUAGGUUAGUGUAGCCAUUAUUAUUAAUGCUCUUUCUAGGCGAAAAUUGUUUGGACCAUUGCGCUGAGUAUGGUUCUAAUAUUUCUGACGGCACAGAACAUCAGAGUUAAAACUACUUUUACUUCAGGGUUACAUCCAAAAUAAGUUUUCAUUACAUUUUUUGUAUCACCUCGUCUGCAAUUUAAAGAUGAUUGUGUCCAGUUUCUACAGCCAACCAUGGCAUUCAUAUUAGGAGCUAUUGAGCUUCUCGAAUCACAUAGAUGCUAUCUUCCUUUGGUCUUUUGCCAUGCUUUCUUUUUGACAGUGUUCACUGUUCAGUGUCAUUCCUAUCUUUAGUUUACUUUGCAUAAAUGAUUCUGAAAUUUCAGGUGUUUGUAUUUCAAUGUUAUAGGUACUGUUACUACUGUCUUCAAACAAGGUGCUCUGCAUCUUCAUCAUUUCGUUGCCCCAGAUGUGGUGAACCAGUUGCUGCUAUGCAACGGCAUGGUGGUUUAGUCAGCAACAUUCCUUAGAAACAGUGAUUGUUCUGCAAAGUGAUUGAAAUGAUAAAAAAGGGAAGCUAAGUUAAACUAUAGAUCAAAAGUUGCUCAAAAGACAACUUGACAAUGAAACUAGGUAUCUAGAUUCCUUGAUAAAGCAUAUUGUUCUGCUUUAUUGAGUGCUUUAAUUUUUUAAAUAGUGUGGUUGUCCCUUUUCCUGUAUUUUACAUCUCAUUUGUUUAUUUAAUUGAAAGAUUAUUUUCUCAAAUGUUGGAUCAGUCUACACGCGAUUGAUUCAAUUUUUGAUGAAAUGACUCUAAAAGUUGUACUUUUAACUUUGAUUACGGCAACUUUUGAGGGGAAAAAAUAAACAUAAUGUUUCAUUUCCUUAAGGUUGUCAAUUUGCAAAUUAGCAAAGGUGAAAAAAAGUGUCAUUUAACUUUUGAAAUGGGAAAAAACAAUGACCUGAAAGAUUGAAAGCUUAGACACAAAUAUUGAUAAAAUAUAGCCAAUAAAUAGUAUAAAUCGUAGUCACUACUAAGUAUUUAUUAAGGAACUAAACCUUAUCUCUACUAUUUAUAGGAGCUAGUUAUGAAUAAUACAAAAAUAGCCCUUACAUAAUUAAAACUUAAGCCUAGAAUGCAACUAAGGUCCGCUAAGCAUGCAAUUUGGCCUCCUAUUCCAAAUCCUCUAUUGGAAAUAUCAACUUUAAUCUAUUGUAAACCUUCGACAUAUGAUUUUAGAUUUAUUUAAAGUUGAUAUUUUAUUUAGAUAUGUAAUUUGAAUUUUUUAAGUUUUUUUAUUUCAAUUAAUGAAAAUUGACAACUAUCAAAACUUCCGCAACUCUUAUGCAAUCUUCUCAAAUGAGCAAAUCAUAGUUCAUUUAAUGUAUCGAGAUGUCCUAAACUCUAAAGUGUCACAAUAAUAAAUUGUAUAUCUUCAUGUUCUUUUGUAAAUAGAUGUUUACAGUCACAUGCUAUUAUAAAUUAGUGAAUUAACUUGCGCUUCACGUGAUCGUAAAAAAUCUAUGGUUGUUUAAACUUGAAAAAUUAAAAAUAAAAAUCAAAGAAACAUAAGAAAUUCACAUCUCAAUCUCAUGCCUAUUCAAUCAUAAAUUACUAAGGAGGUAUUUGAUUAUUUUUUUUAGAGUUCAACUUCAAAAAAUACAUUUGACCAACAUAUGUGUUAUCCCUAUAGAUUAUUGAUAAAAAGUCAAAAGAAGUAAAAGUUGUAUUAUAUAUAACUCCAAUUUUCAUAAAUUAUUUUUCAUUUUUAAAAUAACAAUAAUUUAUUCAAAUUUUACGAUGAAAUGUGACAAAAUGCCCAUUCAAUUUUCUCAUUAUGAUCAUAUCCGUUGUGCCUUAUGAAAUUAUACAUAAAAAAAUCUAUUGAAGCAAAUUCUCUUUGAUGUCUUGUUCUCUUUUUACUUCCUUUUUUCUCUAGCAUUUACAAAUGAUAAAAAAUAAAUGCAUAAUUAAAAGAAUUAACACUUCAUAAAAUAAUUAACAAUCAACCUCUUUUUCUAUGUGAAUUUUUGAGCAAUCUUUUCUUGUUAAUUGGUUUUUAAAACAUUUCCUUCAAAUUUCGAACCUCAAUUUACAUUUGUUCCUACAAAAAUAUAAAAUCAUAGUUUAUAGUUCACAUUUUCCUUUUAAUAAAUGUAUAUAGAAAAGAAAAAAGAUAUUAUCACUUCUUUUGGCUUUCAAAAUGAGUCUUUUAGGUUCAGACUCCAAGUGACACUUCUUUCUGCAAAAUAUAAAAUCAUCGUAAUCACUCAUGUCUUUUAUAACUUCCUUCUGAAAAAUGCAUAUAGAAAAGAAGUUAGAUAUUCUUAUCAUCAAUUGCUAUAAAAGAAAAUAGAUAAUCUCACCUUUAAAAAUAGUCUAACAUAAUAUCGCCAUCACCUUCAGACUCCAAGUAAUACUUCCUCUUGCAAAAUAUAAAAUCAUAAUUCAGGAUUCAGUACUUGUCGUAAACACUUAUGUCUUUUGAGUUUUGAAACUUCCUUUUUGAAAAAUGCAUAUAGAAAAGAAGUUAAAUAUUCUUAUCAUCAAUUGAUAUAAAAGUAAAUAGAUAAUCUUACCUUUAAAAAUAGUCUGCACAAUAUUACCAUCAUCCUACGUUGUACUGAUCUUCUUUAUCAUUUGAAAUGUUUCUUAUAUUUAUAUGCCCAUAUAUGAUGUAACUACAAAGCAUAGUAAUUUGGAUGGUAAAUGCCAUUAAAUUUAGUGACUUUUCACAUUUUAGUAUUUAUUAAUUAGCAAUGAAACUUAACUUUUAAAUCCCAUAAUUACUAUACAUUUCCUUAUUUAAGAAACAACGCAAGCAAUACAAAGAAAGUAAAAGAAUUUUAGUAGAAAAGAUAAAUAGUGAGGAAUAAUAUAAAUAGAUCACCAUUAAUUUUCUAUAAUUACUCAUUAAUUGCUACAUUUUCUAUCAUUAAUUUUCUAUAAUUACUGCAUUAAUUGCUACAUUUUCUAACAGAAACGUGAACUUUUUUUUACAACUAUAACAAAAACGUUAACAAUAAAAGGAAAGUAAAAGAAUUUUUAGGAGAAGAGAUAUCAAUAGUAAUAAUGACCAUAUGUUCACUUUUCAGGAUUUUAGCAUUCUAUUUCAUGUUAAGAAUUAAAUCGCGUACAACUCCCUCAUUAAUGAGGAAUAAUAUGAAUAAAUCACCAUUAAUUUAAUGUAAUAUUUAAAUCCUAUUAUAAGAGAAAAUUCCCAAAAAUCAGAGGAAAAAGAUAAUUAGAGAUCCUGGCCAAAGAGAUAUGCAACAUGAUAUUUUCAUAUAUAUCAUGUUUUUUAAUAAAUUUCUUCUGAAAAAUGCAUAAAUAAAAGAAAAUAGAUAUUCUUACCAUCAAUUCAUAUAAAAAAAUAGAUUUGAAACUCCAAGUAACAUUUUCUCCUACAAAAUAUAAAAUCAUAGUUUAAGAUUCACAUUUCAUAAACAUUCAUGUCUUUUAAUAAAUUCCGAGACUCCAAGUAACACUUCCUCCUACAAAAUAUAAAAUCAUAGUUUAGGGUUCACAUUUCAUAAACACUCAUGUCUUUUAAAAAAUUUCUUUUGAAAAAUGCAUAAAUAAAAGAAGAUAGUUUCUUACCAUCAGUUCAUAUAAAAGAAAAUAGAUAAUCUCACCUUUAAAAAUGGCCAGUGAAAUAUCACCAUAACCCAACGUUAACUGAGUUUCUCUGCAGUGUUUCUUAGAUUUAUAUGUACAAAUAUGAUGUAACUGCAAAGCAUAAUAACUCAUAUGGUCAAUGUCAUUAAAUACAAUAAUGACUUUUCACAUUUUAUAUUUAUUAAUUUGUAAUGAAAAUUACCUUUAAAUUCCAUAACUACUACAUAAUCCUAAAUAUGGGUAUGUUAUAAAGGUGAAAAAACUUGAAUAAUAAAGUUGAUUAAUAAUUAAUUAAAUGAUGGUCUAAUUAAAGAAAGAAAAAUUACGGUUAUGUAUCAAUGAAGAAGAAACCAACCAAUUUUCUAUAAUUACUAUAAUUACUUGAAGGAAUAAUUAAAUAGCUCAUCAUUUAUUUAACGUAAUAUUUUAAAUCCUAAAAUAAAGAGAAAAUUCCUAAAAUUCAGAGAAAAAAAAUAAUUCAAAAUCCUGAUCAAAGAAGUAUGCCACAUUAGAGUUUUCAUAUCCUCCUUUAUAUAUAUAUAUAUAUAUAUUUAAUUUUAAUUUUAAAUACACAUAAUUUCAUAAAGAUUUUAUCGGUUGAAAACAAUCAAUAAUAGUAAUAACUAACUAUUCUCUAAUAUAAUCUUUUCACAUGAUAUCGUAAAUCUAAUCACAUCAAACAUGAGUUUUUUAAUACAAAAUUUAAAAUAAUUAGUCUUUUUUAUCGUUUUACAAAAUAUAAUUAUUGGUCAAGUUUACAUUAAAAAAAAAUUGAAAUCACAAUAUGGAAUUUGAUAUCCUACUUCUGGAGAAUUUGGAAUAAGAACUUGAGACUAAAAUUAAAUUUUGUACAAAUUUUAACAAAGAAAAACAUUAAUUUCAAAUCAAAACUUCAAAUUACGGUCCAAGUCCUAUGUCUAAAAGACUACUUAUUGAAGGAAGAAAUAAGCACAAAUGCACAAUGUUUCAUUUCCUUAAGGUUGUCAAGUUGCAAAUUAGCUAAGAUAAAAAGGUUUGUGUCAGUUAACUUUUGAAAUGGCCAAGAAUAUUUUGCAGUGACAUUCUCUUGUGAAGCUAUCAUAAUAUUUGAUUUCCUUGGGAUUCCUGAUUGAUAAUUUUCGAAUUCAAGAACAUGUUAUUAACAAGGAAUUAAGUGUAGAAUUAUUCAUUAAUUUCAUAAAGUGGAUAAAUAUUGCUGGAGUAGUAUAAUAGAUAACUAUUGUUGGACGAUGGAGUAAAAAAUAGACACGAAUUUUGAUAAAAUAUAGUAUGUGGGGAAUAACUAGAAUAAAUCCUAAUCACCACCUAAUUCAAUCAAUAUAAGAUUAUAGGCACCUAGACUAAUAGAAUCCUCUAGAGGAAAAAUAUUUCUCUUGCAAAUCUUUAGGCAAAGUUCAUAGGCAAUAAAAGGAGUUUCACCCAUUAGCUACUUACUAUAACUAUAUAUAUUGCUUACAAGAGCAUACAAUUUUCACUCUUUUUUUUUUCUUUUUCUAAUUUUAUUUCGAAAAGCUAUUUGGACAUAAAAUUGUUAUAAGUUUCUCAAGAUGAAUUCCAAAAAGUCAUUUCAUAAUUUCACUCUAAUAGGGUAUUUGGAUUGACUUAAAAGUUGGUCAAACCUACUUUUAAAUUAGUUUUUGACUUCAGAGAGUGUUUGACAAAUAUAAAAAUAACUUAAAAACCAAAAGCAGGCCUCCCCUACUUUUUAUUUUUUGACUUAAAAGUCAUUUAAUUUUGAUUAUUUUUAUUUUUGACUUAAAAACUAUUUUUAAGCCAAUUCAAACGGGCUCUAAAUCACUCACAAAAAUUCUAAAAUUUCAAAUAUCAUUUUCAACUUGAAAACAAAUAUUGUACUAUUUUUUUCUUCAAAUUUCACCGUUGUUAUGUCCAAAUACCCAUGUAUUUAUCGGAGAUAGCUAUUAAUUACAAAUAUAGCCCUUAUAUAAUUGAACGUAAGGCUAGAAUGAGAUUAAGGUCUGUCUCUUCUAAAUCCCCCAUUAGAAUAUUCACUUAAGCCAAUUAUGAACUUCAAGUCUCCUUAACUUAAUCUUCCAAAGCUCCUUGAGCUUCGAUGACUCUUGAGAAUUAUCAUUCUCCCUUUCUUCGGAAAAAAUCUCCCCUAAUUACUCGUAGCUUCUUGAGGAUUGUCCAAGCUUUAUUAAAAAGCCAAAUCGAGGGUAUUAGACAUGUAGACAAGUUUGAUAUGAAUACUAGCGUUAUUGAAAAAGAAGAGAACAAAAAAGCAUCGACAUGAGAUAUAAACUUAAAAUAUAUCACCUUCUUUCUCUCACUUCUAACAAAUUGAUCAUCUAUAUACCAUUUUUCAUGUCGCCCUUAAGCGGACUACUAUUGAUCGUUUUAAUUUGUUCUUGACAAUCAAGUGUUUGUGACUAGGGAUGUCAAAAUAUGAAAGUAAACUGAAUUGAUAAAUGAGCGGAUAUUAAGUUAUUUGAAUUAAACUGAAUUCUAAGUUAAUAACGGGAUAAUUAAUUCCAUACUUGAGUGGAUUAGCAUGUCAUAUUUUCAUGGACUAGUUUUAACACAACUAAUUAUGAUUGAGCAACAGACUAGAUUGCCCCUAGAUGUAUUUUUCAAACUACAGCAUCUUGAGGGUCCAUGACGUAGGAGCUGUCUUUUGAAUUUUUCUCGAAAGAAUGGAACUAAGAGCCCUUCUCUGAAAUACAACUUAAAAAGUAGACAUAACAUGUUUUGCAUAGUCACUAUAGUUUAACAUGUUAUAAGUACUUAUUUUAUUUUUCACUUAUCUAAUUUUUUUUAAUUAUCUUUUUGAUAACCAUAAUAUAAUUUGAACCAAUUUAAUUAUCUUUUUGAUAACCAUAAUAUAAUUUGAACCAAUUUAAUUAUCUUUUUGAUAACCAUAAUAUAAUUUGAACAUCUAAUAUAAAAAGAUUACAUGUGUUAUGAAAUACAAUUAAACUUCUCUAUAACGAAAUACAAAGCAUGACCGAUAGAAUAUCUAACUUCAUAUAUAUAUAUGAUGUGAUAAAUCUAACUUCAUAUAUAUAUGAUGUGAUAAAAGAGCGUGCUCCGUUUUUCACAUGAUAAGAUCAGAGAAUGCAGCUGUAUAGCUAGUAACAGAAAAGAACAAUCCUUUAGUUACCACUCUUAAGUCAAUGAAGUUGGAAAAUAAAUUUUUUUAAAAUAACUCCACGAGCAUUUGUUUUUGGGCCUGACCCACCAGCCUUUUUCUGCCUCCACUUUACAAUAAAGCUAAUUAAAGCAAGAAAUUAAAAAAAAUAAAAGAAGGUAUCAAUAAGGGGGAAAACAAAAUACAAUAACAAAGGUUCUCAACCCCACAAGUAAGAAAUACAACUACUCUCUCCGUCUCAUUUUAUGUGGCACCCUAUCAUUUUCAAUUUGUCUUCAAAAGAAUGUCAUCUUACUGUAACUAGAAACAAUUUAACUUUAAAAUUUUCGAAAUGAUUUACAACCAUACAAAUAUCUAAGGAUUGUUUUAGAUCACAAGUUUUAAAAGUCUUCUUUUCUUCCCCCCUUAAACGUGGCGUCAAGUCAAAUUGUGUCACAUAAAAUGAGACGGAGGGAGUGCUAUUACAAAGUAAUGUUUACUCACUUGACAAUGAUAUAUAUAAUACAGCCUUGAAAGCCCUUCAAGAAAGUCUCCUUUUUUUGCACAAAAAAAAAGGGAAAAAAUAGUGAUGUGCAAGAGCAAAAAGUAGUGAGAGAUACCGGAGAAGAAGAAAAAGAAAGAUCACAAAUUUGUGUUGAGAGAGGAGGUGAAAAAUAAUCAUCAGUAGUACUAGUAGCAAAUGAUGGCUGGAAACCCUACUAAUUGGUGGAGCAUGAUCAUGAAUGGAAACAUGCAUCCACAAUUAUCUCAUGAUCAUGAUCAACAUAAUUCUUCUUCUAAUUCUAAUUCUUCACAUUUUUAUGGAGCUCAUAAUCCAAAUCAAGAUUUUCCUCGUUCAUUGAGCCAACUUCUUAUGUAAAUAUACAAAUCUUUAGUCUCUUUCUCUCUCUCUCUCUCUCUUUUAUUUGUCAUGUUAAAUUACCUAGCUUGGUUUGAUUCUAUGUUUAAAGAUAUUCAGAAUUCGAAGUUUAUUAUAUGCACAUAUAGGGUAUGUUAAAAAUUACUGAAUUCGACCUAACUCAUAUAUACUCUCCAUGCUAGCUCCUUACCUAGAAAAUUUUGAUAACUUUCCCUUUUGGUUGAGCUAAUAAUUUUCAUUUGAUUUCUUCAAGUCUUGUUCCUAUGAGCAAAAAACGGAUACAAGAUCUAGAUUAAUUCUAUAGGUUCAAAAUUAGUGUGAUUUUAUCAAAGAUAUAUAUUUUCAGAGUUUUUUUCUUUUUUUUUGGUACUUUUACAUAUAGUUCGAGCAGAAAGUAAUAGGUUCAAUUAAACAUAGAGAAUCCACCUUUUCUGGUUAUAAGAUUUGUAUUUUGUGUCAUGACUGGGUGAGACUUUUUUUCCUUGUAAUUCUCCAAAUUUGUCUCUCUGCAGGAGUGGAUUUUCUGGUGAUGAAGAAAAGUUUGGUAUUAGUCCUUUUCAUGAGGCCGGGAAUUCAGAAGACCAAAGUUUGAAUUCCGUCCAUCCAACAUCAUCAACAACUAAUUUUAGGGUUCCAGUUGCUGAUGUAAAGCCAGAAUUGGCCCAAUUGUACGAUUUUCAUCAUCAUCAUGUCCACAACGAAUUUCAAACAUCCUCAUCACUGCAACAAAAACUCGAAUUAGAUACUGAUCAUUUUACCAGACCUUUAAUUGCUUCUAAUUGGUCUCAACAAGAUUUGUCUUCACCAGCUAGCUCUUGUAUUACAACAGGUUUAAGUCAUAACCUUUUGAAUUUCUCUAACAACAAAGGGGAACAUAAGCAUCAACAUCCAGAUCAUAAUUCAACUGAGGUAAGAAAAAAAAAAGUGGGGUAAUUAAUUAAAAAAGUUGAUUUAUCCAUUUCAUCUUACAUUUAUUAUAAGUCAAUGGAUUCAUCAUUAAAAUUUCAAAAAGGGGAAAGUGAUUUAUAUAUAAAUGCCAAAAUAAAUUCAUGAUUAGCAUUAGGAAUUUAAUCAAUACAAAAAAGUAGAGAUGCUUAGUGAUUUUCAUUAUGAAAAUUUUAGCUAAGCAUUAAGUUUUUGAAUUUUUUACCUUUUUUUGUUGUUGUUGACUUUAUUGACUUUUUUUUAUGCAUCUAUUAAAAGUGUAACAGCACAAGCAGUGGUGGGAUUAGUAAGAAGGCUAGGGUUCAACAAUCUUCAGCUCAACCAUCUCUAAAGGCAAUUGUUAUUACUAUAUCUCUCUUCCUUCUCUAUUUAAUUUUUGUACACACUUGCGUUUGAUCAUGAACUUUUUUCACUUUUUCCUGGAGUUCAACUCUGAAAAACAUGUUUAGUCAUAAAAUUCUGAAACUUCAACUCGAAUUCCAGAAUUUUCAAGAGUUUGAAAAACAACAAAAAUGUGUUCCACUUUUUUCACUCAUAAAAAGUAAAAAAACAACGUUAAUUAAUUUGUGUUCAUAGCCAAACACAAUUUCACUUUGAAAAUAAAAACUUUUUUUUUCAAAUUUCACAAUAAAACAUGAUCAAACGCCCAUAAUUUCACCGAAAACUAUGGAAUUACCUAGCAAUCUAAAGACCUUAAUUAAGUUAACAGUUUUUUUUUUCUUGCAAUUUCUGUGCAGGUAAGAAAGGAGAAGCUAGGAGAUAGAGUAACAUCACUCCACCAACUUGUUUCUCCAUUUGGAAAGGUAAAGUUCCUAGCUAGGUUGUAACUUUUUACACUUAGAAUGUGUAAUUAUUUUUUUCACAUCGUUUUGACUUCUAUAGAUUAAUCUAUAAGUAAUAUAACAAUCAACUUAAUAAUUUUCUAUAAUAAGUUAAAAUUCAUCGAUCAAUCAGUCACACUAAAAUUGAAACACUACCCAAUUAGACAAGUAGUGUACGCAAGGUUCGAAGAUAAAUUCACCAUCGUAUGACUGAAAGACAAUUACAUGUUAAAAUUAUUUACAAUGGUGUCAAUACAUGUAAAUUAAAACAUAACUUGUGGUGCGUAUUAAUUAGCCUAUUUCCCAUGCUGGUGGCAGUACUGGAUCACUGAAAAGAAUAACAUUGAAAUAGUACUACUAUAUAAAUAGAGUAAUUAAAUUUAAUUAGUAGAUAACACAUUUUAGAUUCCUUUUUGCUUUAGUGAUCUUACCCAUGAAGGUGUGUCUAAAUUAAAUAAAGUUUUUCAACACAAAAAGGAAAAGAGAAAAAGAAGAAUAUAUGGCUUUAAUUUGUGUUGGUGUGUGAGACAGACAUGUCAUGUUUCUCUUUUGCAGACUGAUACAGCCUCCGUCCUAUCAGAAGCUAUUGGCUACAUCAGAUUCCUUCAGGCUCAAAUUCAGGUCUUCCUUUUUUUUUCUUCAUUCAUAAGCAUGCUGUGACUUUCAAACUUACAACUACAUCAGUUUAACUUGUAUACGUCACCAUAUACACUAUCUAAAUAUUCAUUGAUUUUGACAUGUUUGCAAUAUAUAUACCUCUCCGUUUCAUUGCAUGUGAGGUAGUUUGAUUCGGCACAGAAUUUAAGAAAGAAAAUAAGACUUUUAUAACUUGUAGUCCAAAAUGAAUGAUAAAAAUUUAUGUGACUGUAAAUCAUUUCAUUAAGGGUAAAAUAUACAUUUUAUAGUUAAAUUGUUGUUUAAUAUAGAAAUGUAUCAUUCUUUUUCAGACGGACUAAAAAGGAAAGUAAGUCACAUAAAUUGGGACAGAGGGAGUACUAUAUUUCACGCAACUUUAAUUUAAGAUCCUAAGAUUAUUUUCUUAAACUAUGUGUCAAGUCAAAUUAGAUCAUUCUAUUUGAAACGAAGGACUAUUACUAUUCACCUUAUUAUCUUUCAGAUUACUUAUCUUACUUAUUACGAAUCGAUCGUCCUAUAUAUGUUACUAACUUAUUAUAAAUAUGUGAAAAAUCUUUAUGAAUAUAUAUAUUAUAUUUGAGAUAUAUCCAUUGAUAUUAUACAUGAAUUUUUAUCAUUUUAACUUCUUUAUGUAUAUUUUUUUUCUGUGGUGCACGUAUAUAUGCAGGCAUUAAGCUCACCAUACUUGGGCAAUGCAUCAGGAAGCAUGGGUCACAUUCCCCAACAAUCACUGAAUGUAAGAAUUUAUUCUUUUCACAUUUUCCAAUGCACGACCAAGAUUCCUCAUCAGUUUCUCAUAUUUAUACACGUGCGACUGACUAAUCAUAUCUGAUUAAUUCGUUAAUUAUCAAGAUUAACCUUUAUUUUUUCUUGAUUUCAAGAAAAUUAUUAUUUACUGCCAAAAUAGCUUGAUAUACAAAUGCCUACUUUAUUGGAUCCCUCAGCAGUACACCAAAAGCUAGUUAUGUGAGGCUUUACAUUUGUAAAGCAACAGUUAUAUCAAAGUGUUCUGUUCAUAAAAAGUGACCGGCCUAAAGGUGAAAUGAACUUCUCAACAAUAAUUGCACUUCUUCAACUAUAUAUGAGUUUGUUAAAAACAAACUCUGAUGAUCUGUUUUCUAUUACGUAGUUUGCUUAGCACAAAGUUUAAGAAUAUAAAGAGUACAUCUAAUUCAUGUGUUUUUUAAUUAAUUAAAAGUGUAACAUACAAAAUUUAGCCUUUAAAUUGUAGUUUAAAUAUGAUGCCAUGCCUAUAAGGGAGUGUUGUUAAGUGUAAAGAUGAAAAUGUUAACACUAAAAGUUUACUACAUAUAGAAAUGUGACGUUCUUUUUUAAAACAGACUAGAACAGAGAAACGAAGGAGUAGCUUAAUAGCCAAGAAAGGGGCUAAAGUUUUGAAUUUAGAUCCAUUAUAACUUUCUUGUCCGUAGAUACUGAUUUGAAUUCUAAUUCCUUUUCAUCUAGUUUUUGGAUGGUAAUUUUCUGCAAAGGAGGCCAGCAAAUAAGCAGGUACGGUAUAAUUCUAUUCAAUGCAUGCAUGCCCCAUUACUAGUGUCACAAUUAGCAAAUAUAUUAAGUUUUACACCAUCAGGAUAAUUUAACAUGUUAUAGCAGGUUACUUAUCAUUUGUUCUACGACGUUACUAAUCAAUGCUACGUACUAAAUUGAGUUUCCUCUAAUUAUCUUUUAAGCUAAGUGACCUGAUUUUAAUUUUCAUUCUCUAUAGGAUUCUCAGCACAAAGCGAUGGAUUUAAGGAGUAGAGGGUUGUGCUUGGUUCCUAUUUCUUGCAUGGCAAAUAUAGGAAGUGACACCGGCGCCGAUUACUGGGCUCCAGCUCUCGGAGGAGGAUUUUGAUGUUACAAGUGUUUAUUCUGAUUGGAUUUAAGUUAUAUACACUGACAGUAUAAAAAUACCGAGACGUCAACAAACUGAUGAUAAGACGGAUCGGAGCCUCUGUGUCCUCAUGGAAUGAAUGAUAUAACAUCACAAAGCAGUCAUUCUCAGUAUGGAAGUCAUCAGAGCUGACUGUUUGUGAUGCUAUUUUGCAUUUGAAAUCGGGUCAAAGAUAAAGUGGUAUUGUCCAAUGUACAAUAUGGUCCUAUUUUCUUGAAUUUCAUGAAUAAUCAUACUACCUUACUAGGUAGUUCAUAAGUGUUGUAUAUGUAACUUGGAAAUCCAUAGGUACAAUCAACAUAUCGUUUCAGAAAUUUUAUCUUUCUUGCAAUAUCUUUAAAUUCGUUACUCUUAGUUUUUUUUUUUUAUGAUCGAGAAAUUUAUUUGGGACUAUCGUUAGGAAGAUAUUAAGCAAAAAAAUGUAGAUAUUUAAAAACUAUAUGAAAAGUACUAUAAAUUGCAAUUUUUGCAUAUCAAUUUGGUGAAAAAAUACACCGUAAAAUGUUUGUCAAAAUUCUUAUAGAUUGACUAUAAAAAAGGAAACCAUGACAACUAAAAAUGGACGGAGAGAGUAAAUAAUUAAGCUUCCGAUUUUAGGUCAAGAUUAUAUUUCACUUUUGAGUCAAGAUUGCACGUAUGAUCGCUCAAAUUACCACAAGUGAAUAAUAGUUUGAUGAACAUGAUGAGAUUAUGGUUGUGUUCGGUAGAGGAAAAUAUUUUCCAUUUUUUCUUGUUCGGUUUGACUUAAUUAAAUGUUUUGGCUCAAUUUUGUGUUUUUGGACUCCAUAAGAAUUUGUUGAUAUUUUUUAUUAAAUCUUCUUGUUACUAGAUUUUCCAUAAAAAAAUUUAGGAAUAGCUGUUAUUCCUUUCUUCUACCGAGAAACCUUUCCUUCCAAUAGAAAGAACUAGAAGAUUCUACCUCUGAAAAACGUCUACCUUCGGCUACAAGUUGAAAUGGAAUGAUGAAUGUUAAAUUUGUAUUAGAUCAGUGUAUAGUAAAGAAUCAUCUAAUUAAUUAAAUCACACACUAAUUAUUAAUUGCCACGAAAUUAACAGUAAUUUCUUUUUUAAAUAAUUUAUAUAUUGUGAGGGCGGCGGAAUUAAGGAUCUAUCCUCGACUAAUGAACUUUGUAAUUGCCUAGGUCAUUCCACUUUCGUUUUCCACUAACAAAAGGUAAACAAUUUUAAAAUAAAGAAACUAUUAUUAGUUCCUCUCUAUCCAAUAAUUUCUGUUUGAAAUUUCAAUAAAAUACAUAUAUGACACGAUGAUAGGAAAUUAUUUAAUUCUCAAUUUUAUCCUUUUAUAAAAGUUGACAAUAAAUUAAGAUUCGUGCUGGGAUAUAUGUACUUGUGUGUUAAUUGCUAUGUAAGAAAGUCAAGAAGCAAUUAUGCAUUCAUUAUUUAAUGUCAAUAGUGUCUUGGGACAUCCAAAAAAGUGAAAUGUGGUUAAAAGAUUUGAGGCUUUGACAAUAUUAUUAUUUAAGAUGAUUAACAAAUUAAACAAUGAAAAGAAAACAAAAAUGUAUAUGAUUAAAGUUGGUUCAAUACAAUCAUCAAUUCAUGAUCAAGCCAAAACAUAUUAAACAAAAUAUUAAAUUAAUAAAAACAGUAGCAUUAUGUUGUCUACUUGUGCUUUUUAAAAAGGACCAACAAUAUAUUUGAAUUCGUUUUCAAAGCUAGAUAGUGACAGUUUAGAAUGGACUCGCGAUAGCUGAAUCUCGAUUCAUGAUUUUAAAUUUAUGAAUUUCUAUAGAAUUUUCAUGAAGUUAUUAUUAUAUAAUAAUAAUAAUUAAAUUUACUAAUAAAUAUUUAAUAAACUUCUUAAUAUUAAUAUAAAUUUUUUUGACAAAAACUACUUCAUUCAUGUUACAUAUAACACAUUGUGAAUCCACCCUUGUUGUUGUGGCCAAUUUCAAUUUCCCUUAGCAAGUUAUAUACCUGUCCCUGUCCAUUCCCCAACCUUUUAUUUGCAAGUGGCUAGGCGGCCUAACGUUUACUAGUCAGCCAAUCACUUUUUAGUUCAUAACGAACAAAACGUCAUCUUUAUGUACAGCAAGAUCACAAAGACACAUAGCUAGGUUUUAUUGUUGAUGCUGAAAAUAUUUAGUUACCAUGGUGAGAAACUAGGCCGGGAAAAGUAACUUUCAAAUUGUUGUUGAUUCGAAGUUCUAUAUCUAUAUAGACAGGUUUUGAGUGAAAAAAGAAUUAUGCAUCUACAUAAAUACACACACGGAAGGUUUUUUGUGACAAGACUAGAAGACAUGAGAUAUUAGAAGCGAGAAUACUAAUAAUUCUAAGAAGAAGAAAAAAACGAUUUUCUACUAGUAAAAGGUUUUAAACUUACCUGGAAGUCAUUAGAUUUUUGUACUUAAUAAAAGAAAAGUCUAACUAUAACAUAUUCUCUUAAUAAUAGCAUAUAUAUAUAUAUAUAUAUAUAUAUGUAAUAGACCCCAACAAGUAUUGAAUUGAGACAAGUACUACUAGUUUUUUCUACCUUUUAUGGUACUAUAUCAAACAAAAUACAUUCAUUCUAACUUUAUUCCUUAUUUUGUUUGUUUGUUUGGGGUAUAAUGAUGAUAAUGGACCUGUCUAUUGUCAGUCAGUAGCUGGAAACCCAAUUAUAGAAAUAUCUUAAAAGAUUAGGAGGAAAAAAACGUGAUUUAGAAUAUCCAAAAAAAAUUGAGCAAAAUUUCACUAGUAAGUGGUUAGGUUAAUUUCACUAAUUAAAGAUAGGUUAAAUGAAGUGAAUGAAACAUAUCUAAAUCGUGAUUGGACUAAUUAAGAGAAAUGAUCCGACUAAUAACUAAUUAUAUGUUUGACUAUACUAUAGUUUGUUUGGGUAAAUUUUAGGUUUAGCAAACAUAAAAAUCAUAUUUGUAUGUUAUAGCUAUAGUUUGUAUAAUUGCGCUCCAUAGCAAACUUUAUGUUUGCUAUGACUAUUAAUUUGUAUAUUUUGGUAUACAUAUACAUAAAAAAUAUGUAUUUGAGUCUAUUUGUAUAUUUCAGUAUAUAAAUGGGUCCUACAUUUGUAUAUUUCGGUAUACAAAUGGGAUGACAAAAAAUAUGGAAUAUUUGCUGCGAAUUACAAAUAAAAAAAACUAUAGCUAUAGCAUUUAAUUUGAAUUAAUAGUUUGUUAUUUCAUAUAAUUUUCUCGGGUUCGAGCCCCGUCAGUCCCGACGGAUUCAAUAAAUAUAUUCAUCUCUCCAUUUUCUGUGAAAGGGGGGCAGGGAGCAUAAUUUAAUUCCCAACGGGGGAUCUUUUUUUUUUCUUUUUUGUUUCGCAUUUCUCAUCAAAGGAAACUUUAUAUGAAUAGAGUUUUUGGCCUCCUUGUUACUCUUUUAUAGUUUAAAUUCUAAAUAGCCAGCUAGAUUAUUUUUGUUUGAGAAAAUUACUUGAUGUAGCAGUUGCGGACCUUCAUCACUUUAUAUAAUGGUACUUUUAGAAAAUUACAAAGCAUAGCAAUAUUAUCUAUUUUAAUAGCUGAUAUACAAUAUACAUAAAUCUGUUUAUGUAAAAGUAAACAAAAACUCACUAUAUAUUGUAAAAAUGGAUGCUAAUAAUGCUACUUAUGGAAUUUUGCCUUUUUCUUUUCAUCCAUUAUAAACAAACAAAUUUUAGGAAAUGACAAUGUUGAAGACGAAAAAUAAAGGUCCAAAAAUAAAGUAAAAGAAGGCCGACAAGAAAAAUAUGACGGCCCAAGUUAGGGGCCCAACUUGUUUCACAAUAACUUAGUACUUCCGUAACAACUCUUAUUAAGGAAAAAUUACAGAAAUCCCACAUUUUAGUUUACUUAUUACCAUUAUCUCCUAUAGGUUUUACAAAUCUCCAAAAUACCUCAUUUUCGCGCAUCAGAUUAGUGUAUCUUGCGCAUCAAAUUAAUGUAUCAGCGCUUAUAUUAUUGUAUCUCGCGCAUCAGAUUAGUGUAUCAUGUAUAAAAUGUAAUGUAUCUUACUUAACAAUUAAUGUAUCUCGCGCAUCAGAUUAAUGUAUCAGCGCUUAUAUUAUUGUAUCCGUUUGAGGGAUUUCUAUAAUUAUAAACUUUUAAGGGAUAGAUUGUAAUUUUGCCUUAAAAGUAUGUGAUUUCUGUAAUUUGCCCAAUAAUUAAUCUAAAUAGUCGUCCACCUACGCAUAAAUUAAAAAGAAAUAGUACCUUUUAAAAAAAGAUAAACGUGCGGCUAUUUGUGUAAAGAUAAGAUUAGGCAUGAAAUUAACCCGGCCCAUCCAAUAGAUGCUAAAUCUUCAUUAGUCCAUUGCAAUGGAAGUAUGAAACUCUUUUUCUUUUUUUUUGUUCUUGUUGGAUUGUUUUUAAUUCUACGUAGUGAACUCAUAUUUUGUUUUGUUAGUCAUAUUAUUUGGAAUAAAAUGUGUUCACAUAGAGCAUAAUGAUCCUACAGGAUUCUUAUUAACGAUUUUAAUUAGUUUGGGGUUGAUGCUGUUAUGUAUAGCAAGCACAUAGAGAAGAGACAUUGCUUCGAUUAAAACUAUAAUCUAACUCGAAAUGGGGUUCUAAAAAUAUAGUUCAAACAAUUAACACAGCCAACAAUAUGGUUGAGUUUUAAGGAUACAACUUCAAACAUGAACAGAAUCUGGUUGUUGCAAAAAAAAUGACUAGCACACUACAACCUCAAAUCAAACAAAUAAAGAAUCACAAUCUUGAAAUUUACUUUGACAUGGAUUGUACUUGAGGAGCUUGAUUCACUUGUUGGUUCCCAUAGUGCUGCUGAGCAACUAUACCAUUCCACCCUGUACAACAUUUUAUUGGAACAAUGUUAAGAUAUUCGUGACUUAAGAGUCUCAUCGUCAUCUAUUAGUUUUAAGCUUUUAGAUGAACGAGACACACAGUACAAUAUUAAUUGUAACCAAGUGUGACAUACCUAGAGCGGGAUCAAGUCCCCUGUUUCGAAGCUCUCUGAAUUCUUGACAAAGAGAGCAACAUGGACAGAACAUAUGGGAAAUCAUGUCUGAAUAAGGAGCUUCCACUAGAUUAUAUCUUUGUCUCAAUUGGGUUCUAUAUUUUGAGCCCAUGAUCCACUGAGAGCAAAUAGCAGGCAUCAUCAGCAUGUAUAUGAAAGUCCCUAAAGGGCAUGCUGCAUUAAUCACCAAAACACAAAAAAACAAACUUUGGUAUUAGUUCAUAGCACAAGCUAACAAAUAUGCAUAGUUUUUUCAAAGAUUUAACUUCUGUAAACGGAUAAUAAUAAAAAAGUAAGAUGGGUCGACUAGGAAACUUACUCAUUUGUCCUGCAUCAAGGACUUCUGCUAUUUGUCCAAAUGUUACACAAGGUAAGAACGCCGUCAUAACAGCUGCAUAAACAAACAAGAAAGUAAUUUUUAGAAAGUGGAUCAAGGAUUUUAAGUCAGUAAAUGUGAAGAUGUUGGGAUUCCAAUACCCCCACACAACAUGGUAAACCAAGAAUUCAGAUGAGCUUGACUUUGGUACCGUGAUAAAACAAUGAAUUUUGGGCCUAACUCAAUCUCAAAAGCUAGCUCAAGAGGUGAUGACUGUCCAAUACCCCACGCCCAGGACUGGACAUCUAAAGUGUGAACAAUAUAACAUAAAGGCCAAACAAUAUCGAGUAAACCAAGAAUUGGGAUGAGUCUAUCUUUGAUACCAUGAAAAAUAAAUGGACAUUCGGCCUCACUCAACCUCAAAAGCUAACUCAAUAGGUGAGGAUUGCCAUAAAACAUUUAACAAGAGACCAACUAACUCAUCCCACACAGAUAGGACACGUAACAAUGAAUAGUAACACAUAAGUAGUUGAUACUAAAAUAAACUAUUAGCAAGGAAAAGAAGGAAAAACUUAAUUUACCAUUAGUUUGGUCCAGAUGACAAUCAAAUAAGCCAGUACUCCAAGGAGCUCCAAUUGUUAAGUGUGGUGGUGACUGAUAUACACCUUGUACUCCUUGUAACUGUUGAGGUUGUGAGGCAGCUGGUUCAGUACCACUCUCUGCCUGAGAGGUUUCUUCUUCAUUGUUUGCUUCAACUCUCCCCAUUGUUAUCCAAAAAUUUGACAAUUAUCCCUUAGUAUAUGAUGAAGAAAUAUCAAUGAGUUCUUUUAUAUAUAUGUAGGAAAAGGAUUUUUGUGUGACAUGUACAGAGUGGAUGGCAUCUUUGACUUGGAAAAAACAAUCAAUGAGAGAUUAUUCAGCUUAACUAUGGUCAUAAGUGUCCUUUUUCACAUUAUACAAUUUUUAAGAGUAUCAUCAAUAUCACAGAAAUAGACAAAAUUAAGGGGGUAAAAUAGAAUAUGAAUUUUCAAAUGAGUAGUCAAGUUAUUGCAAGUUUCCUAGACCAUUUUAUUCCAAGUUGUUUAUGUAUUCAUAUGCCACUAUGCAAGUUUGGUAGCUAGUUACAUCUUGGGAGGAGGAUUAGUAUAACGUCCCUUUUCAAUAUUAUUUGUUUGAUUUGCAUUUUAGUUUUUUCAUAUUUGUCAUAGAUAUUCAUACUAUCCUUUUUUGAUUUGUUGCAGUUGAGUCUAUUAUCUUUCGAAAGCAACCGUGAAAUUGCACUGAUUUACUGUAUUAUUAUUUAGACUAUCCUCGUAUUUGAUUUCGCUCUUCAAGUAUUCUCUUCAGAAUCAAUCUUUAUCUCUAUGCUAGGAAAAUGCCCAAGGUCAUAUAUAAGACUUGCUGUUAAUUUAGAAAAUGAACAAAAAGAAAAUGAUAUUCUGAAAGGUAGUUACUCAAAGUCAACUUGCAAUAGUAGAGACGUGUAGUGCAUUAAAACAGAAGAUUCAAUAAAUAAUUUCUCAUACUAAUUAGCCAUUAUUUCAUAUAACAAGACACGUUUAUAUCAUCAUUAUAUAACCCUAAAGUCAACAUAUGACUAGAUUGACGAUUGUACAUGUUUUGCAUUAUGGCAUGAUCAUCAAAGAUUCAAACUGUAUCUUGUAUACAUGAUGAUACAACCAAGACGAUCAUUUUUCUUCUCUUUUUUAAAUUUCUGAGAAAUUUCCUGUGAACUUCUGGCUCAACUCUAGCUCCCACCACUACAAGAAAACAGAGGUACGACGACAUUAUAUAAAUGUCGUAUUAGUAUGUUUAAAUGUCAUAUAUUCAUUUACCGACAUUUAAUUUACAUUUGAAUCAAAUGUCGGAAAUUUGUGUGUCGGGAAUUUUCCGACAUUAAGAUAAAUGUCGGUAACAAAUAAACGACAUUUAUUUAUGACAUAUAUAAAAAUGUCACUUAGAUUUUUUGACAUUUAGAUAAAUGUCGAUAAGAAAUAAAUGACAUUUCUAUUCAGUAUAUAUAAAAUGUCACUUAUUUUUUUUGACAUUUACAUAAAUAUAUUUAAAAAAAUUAAGACAUUUACUUAUGACCUUGAAAAUGUCACAUUAGAAUUUGUUAUUUUAGUCAAUAUAAAUAACAUAAAUUUACAUCAUUUAUGAAAUGUCGGAUCCACAUUUAUGUUUACGUGAAUGUCAAAAAAAUUAGUGACAUUUUAAAAGGACUUUUACAAAUGUUGCAUUAACAUUUCCGGCAUUUCAUUAUUCUAGGUGCCAAAUUUAUUCAAAAACUAAUAAUCAUCUAUUGAGUAAACAUAUAAUUAUAUUAAUCUGCACAUUCAUGUAUAUAAUUUUUUAUGAACACGAAAUAUAUGUAAAAGUACAUGUCUUUUAAUAUUGUAACCAAAGAACAAAGUAACAGUAAUAUACAAUAAAUACUUUCACCAAUUUAAUAAUAAAUCAAAUGAUUUGUUCUCACUCAAAUAAAAUUCAAAUCAAAGUAUAUCAAAAGGCAAUAAUUUCAACAUCUAACUACAUAAAGAUCAAUCCUAAUUCAAAUUAGUUUCCAUAGUUGUUGAAGUAAUGAAGCUUUGCAAAACGAUUUCUUCACAAAUCAAGCAUUCCGUUGUCAGUAAUUGAUCUCAUUUUCUUCAAAAAAAAAUGCUGCACAAGAAGACCAGAUAGUAAAAAAUAUAACUAUACAAUAUCAUGAUAAAGGAAAAAAGUGUUUAGAAGUAUUAACAGAUGCAAAUAUUAAAAGAUCAAACAUUUUAUACAUAAAAAAAAGAAGAUAAAUCACUAAUUCACUUCAAUGCUCUACAAGUUGUAGAUUAUAACUAUACAAUCUAAAGAAAAAAAAGAGAAGAAAAAUACAAAUAGUGAAUGAGUUGUGUGACGGCUGGAGAGUAUAUAAUAACUUUUAAUGAGGGAGGACUAGGUUUUGGAAUAUUAUUUUGGCCGCUUGGGCC
rnacentral:lncRNA from 1 species